UUUCAAAAAAAAAAAAAAAAAAGUUUCCUUACUUUUAACUAUUGUGCGCAUAGCUUUAUCAUUCGAUAUUAUAACAGUUAGAAUGAUAACAAAGACUGUUUCGUUAAACAAGGAGGCAUGGUCAUACCAAAUAUGUUCCUGUAGCAUCUAGUGCUCUUUUCUGAGUUUUGAUUGCUCUCUUCUCUAGUUGUCCCAACCCAUUUGUUCUCUCUGCUCUCUCUUUAUUCUCAACCUUCUUUACAUCAUUCUUCCUUCGCAGGAGGGAGACUUUGGCCUUAAGCCCUCUGUUUUUAUUUUAUGUUUAAUAAAAUCUUUCGUAGGAUUAUUUAUCCUCAUGUUUUACUAGUGAGAGUUUUCUUUUCUUUUAAGCUAUCCUAGUAGGAGUUUUAUUUAGUUUUUAUUUUUUUCUCUCAAAUCUAAGAGUUUUUUCAGACCUAUAUGUUAGAUCUGAAAUUUCUUGAAUCUUCUCGUCAAAUCUCAGUGUCAAUUUUGAACUCGGAUUAGCUGGAUAGCAAAUUUGAGGGAAUAGAUAUGCACAAAUAUUUAUGGAAUAGCUCGUGCAAUUGGUCAGAUCUAAUGAUUUGUAAUCCACAGUGUAAUCUUUUAUAUUCUGUAACUCUGUAAAAUCUAAUGAUUUUGUAGAUCAGAUAUAUUUAUGGCAUAUUUUAUGUACUUUCUACCAUUAGUGCAACUUUCUUUGUCAAACAAAUCAUGCUGGACAAUUUUUAGCUAAUUUAUUAAUAAUAUUGACUUAUGUUUUGUAUAAAAAAAAAAGCAUCUAGUAAUCUUUUAAAAAUUAUUUAGUAAUCGCCAGCUUUUCAAAAAAAAAUUAUUAUUGGCUUUGUUUUUCCAUGGACCCAUAUGAAAUGCAUGUGAAGCUAAUGGGGCAUAAUUCAUCGGUACAAUAUUCUUGGGGGCUCAAUUUUGCAUUUCUAUCAAACUAUUUCCACUGUUCAGAAAACUAACAACUAGCAACUAAGAUUGCAUCAAGUUAAUUUGCUUUCGCUCACUUUUGAAUUGUACCUUUCAUAGUUGUGAGUUCGUUGGCUGCAGGUUUUCCCCACAAUGAUGAGAAAAGCCAACUUAUAUGGCCCUAAAUUGCAGAAUUGACAGCCGCACCAAAUAAUUGACACCACGAAUUGAAUAGAUCGAGCUAACUUGUUUGGCUUGAUCCAGGGCAUCAAUUGUACCCUAUGGUUGUACUUACAGUUAUAGAGGCUCAAAUCCUAAAUUGAGGGCCUAAAGUUCAAUGCUAAUGGCAUUGAUUCGAAGUUGUGACUCGGACGCAAAAUUGUGGGUGACAAUUGCACAAGGUAUUGACUAAGGAAACUCCAAACGAUGCUGUUCCCAAAGUUGAAGUCUACAUGAUAAUUUUAUGGCAAGAAACCGUUGUGUUGUAUUAUGGAUGGAUAUCUAUCAUUGGUAAUCCUAAGGCAAGUCCACCGAUUCGAGUUCGAACCUCUUCUCUGGGACAUCUGUCCAUUGUACAAGACUUGCCUAGUACAUUUUAUCUCUUUGUGUGGUUAGCAGAUUAUUAUACGGAACGAGAUUUAUCUAAUACGCACUCUCGAGUAGCGGCUGCGGAUUCCCUGAUCAACAAAACAAAAAUUCUAAGGCAGGAGACUGUUGUAUCUCACUAUGGAUGGAUAUCUGACAUAUUCUUAGCCUUUCAUUUCUCCUAUUGAUUGUGAAAUUGCAUCACAAGAGUUGAUGCCAAAUGUUUUUAGCCUUCAAUUUAUCCAAUUGAUCAAUGCAUAUAAGGUUUUGCAGUUGGGAACUAGCCAUUUUUCCCCCUAAAGAUCCAAUGCUUAAUUACCAUAUCUGAUUUCCUUCAUAUCACUCAUAUCAUGGGGAUAAGAAUUCAUAUCAUGAAGACGAGAAUGUACAGAUUUAAAAUGGGGAAUGAGAAUUGAUAUCAUGAAGAUACAGUUCUCGAUUAGAUAAAGACCAUUUAUUAUACUCCUAAAGGAAAAAUAUUAGGCAACAUUUCUAGUACUUGUGAAUCUACUAGCACUAUAUUUCAUCAAAAACCACACCGUCGGCACUUGCCCUCUCCUUGUCCAUCCAAAUGACAGUCCGAAGGCACUUGCCCUCAAUAAGCAACUUGAAAGCCUUGUUGAUGUCUUCAAGUUUGACCUCAUGCGUGACAAACAAGUCCAGCUGAAGUUCCUGGAUUUGUGUUCAAAGAUUUGAGCAAAAUCAGGGAGAGAUGCCAUUUUGAAUCAAGUGAUCAAGAACAACAAUGUGGUAAAACUUCCAUUGAACCAAGUAAAUGGACCGUACCUUAUCCAGGUAACGCUUUGCAAGAAUGGGAAUAUCAAUGUUGGGCUUGAGACCACCAUAUUGGACUCCGGUAAUGGAUUUCCCACUAUGAGAGUUCACCAGGGAAUUGAGGAUCAGCUGUGAGUCGGGCUUGUCCACUCCUAAUAUAACUGUCUUGCCCCAUCCCUGACAUUAGAUUGUUAGCUGAAUCUGAUUUAGUAGCAGAAGAACAGCAAGAACUCCUUUUCUGUUUUAUGCCUAAACAAGAUCAUCUUGAAACAGAUGAGCAAGUGCGAAUGGAAGUCACUGGAUAUUUACCCUAAAGUGUACUGUAAAGUUAUUAAAUCCUCAAAAUAUUUAAGUUCUUAGCCUACUACUACUGUAUGAAUAAGAUAUGCUUCAGCGGAUCAAUAAGAGCUUCAGGAGCGAAGAACCUUUCUGCAGCAAGUAAAUGCUUCUUGCCCUAGUGAUGGUAAGCCGACACAUUCGAAGCAAUAAUCAGCACCAAGUCCGUCAGUCAUCUCAAGAAUCACCUGAUUAGGCCAGAAAAGAUCACCAAACCAGUUGUCAAUUGGGCUGUAAUGAAAAAGUAUUAACUUCAAAACCAUAACUCUGUGUUUUCCUAAGUAAUAGCUCUGUGGUAAAAAUGCAUUGCAGUACGAAUAUCAGAUGUAUACCUCGCUCGCAGAUUUGCCCCCAAGGUCCGUUGGGUUGAGAUAAUGGGUGACGCCAACCUUUUUACCUGAAGAAAAGCAAAAUUUGAUAUUUGAGAAAGAGAUUUUAUGCUUUUUGUGACUAUGAAUAAAAAAACGAAGCUAUGAAAACUUUUCCAGUAUCUAUUGUUACCAAUUUCAGCUUUCUCCGGGUUCAAAUCCACGCCGAUAAUUCUUUUAGCACCACGAAGUCUUGCUCCUUCGGCAACCUGAUGUUUCCAGUUCAAAUCAACACUCUGAUGCUCUAUUACAAAUUCGAUGCACCAUGAAACAAUACACGUUGUUACUAAAAGUAUUACUAUAAGAUUUUACCGAUAAUCCGAUUACUCCCAAUCCAAAUAUAGCUACAGUUGAGCCAGCUUCAACAUCAGCUGUUUUCCAUGCAGCACCAACUCCUGAAAGAACAGAAUUGUGUUUUCAAGAUUUUUAAGUCAUGGCACUAGUAGCAAAUCGAUCAAUUUGAUGAUGGAACCUACUAAUGAGCUACAUUAUCAAUCUGUUCUACAGCAGAAAACGUUAAUUAGGCCUUAUUAAGAAAUGCAAAAUGAAUCCAAUUGUGCCUUGGAGAAUUGAAUCGAACGGGCAUUACCGGUCGAUACUCCACAGCCAAGCAAGCAUGCUCGACUCGCCCGAAGUGCAGGAUCUACUUUUGUGACAUGAGUGAUGUCUACCACAGUGUACUCACUGAAACCUGAUGUGUAGCCAAAGUGGUAAAUUGUCUGUCCUUUGGUAUCAGAAAACCGGCUAGUCCCAUCUCUGAUAUACGGAGACAGUUCGAAUCUCAAUUUGGAGCAUUGGUUGCUUUUGAGGGAUGUGCAAUCAGGACAUUCUCCGCAAUAGGCCAAAAACGAUGGAAUGACUGUAUCUCCCACUUUCACAUCCUCGACUCCCUCUCCUACACUCUCCACAACCCUUCAUUGAAGGAAACCAAACAUGAUCAGAGUAGUGUUUGAGCAAAGCUAUAUGAAUUUUGUUAGUGAAGUGGACCAUUAGUACUUGUUAGCAUGAAUGGAAAAGCUUACCCAACAGUUUCAUGACCAAAAAUUCUUGGAUAAUAUCCAUGAGGUUCCUUCAAACAAAUGAAGAGAGUGUGUGAGCCUGUCAGCUAAAUAAACAAUGUACAUAUGAAAACACACACACACACAUACAUAUAUGCAAAAUGAUGUCGAUGUGUGACAGGAUAUGAGAUUUAUACUUUCAGUCUCCAGAAAUGGAUGUCACUGAAACAUAGGGCAGAGCAUAAGACUCGAACGCGAAGUUCAUGGGCUUUUGGAGGGGCGACUAUGAUUUCCUCGAUGACUAAUGCCUCCCCUGCUUUCCUUGCAACCGCGGCUGCAUGCAGCAAACAAACAAGUAAAUACACAUCUUGAAGCAGAUCAUCUUAAACAAACGAGAUCAUCUUGCAAUACAGAAACCAAGCAUCAAAUAAUUCAAGAUCAUCUUACAAACAUUCCUUUGCACUUGGAACAGUCAGAAAUUCUGCUCAGAGAGGGGGGAAAAAAAAGAGGGAUGACGUUCAUCGAAAAAGCCAAAAUCUAUUGUGAAGGGAUGCAAAACCCAUAUUCUUUUGACUUGCAAUCUUUUAAUACCAUCAUAACCUAACAGACUCAGAAAAUUAAUGCAACAGUUGCAAAAGGAAAAAAAAUACACUCUUAUUUGACAAUAGUGAAUGUGAUAAUUGUAUCAAAUUACAGGGAACCUGAACUAAGAAACUUUUGAGAGGCUGACAAAUGCCAAGGAUGAUCUACAUUGAUAAGUGCUGACUUGAAAAGGAAUGCACAUAAAUUUGCACAGAGACAAUGCUGUACUACCUGAACUGGAGAUGGAUUGAUGCGAAAAAUAAUUCAGCAAUAACAAUCCAUCAUGCAUUGCCACUCACUCAACAGAAUACAAUGACAAUAAUCUUUGGUGGGCUUUUUUUUUAGGAAAAAAAAUAAUAAUAAGUUGUCAUACAAUGAGCAAGGUCUGGAAUGUAUCCUGGCGGGCAGUAUAUCCUUUUUUGUUACUUUGCACCUAUUCAUGAAAGUUCCAGAUUUACCUUUGCAAUGGAUGGGCUUUCCAGCAGUGUUGCUUGAUUCUUGAUUCUGCGCCAUUGCAGUUAAUCCUUCUUCUUCACUCUUCACUAACACAGAAACUGAAACAGACGAUGUUUUCGAUGGACGCUGAGCUAACAGAACAGAGAAAGUGACUGACCUUACUUGCACUGAGGGUUAUUUAUAGAACAUAGAGGGAAAUAAGGAUAUGCCAGGGAAGGUGACGGGGAGUUCCUAAUACAGCGAAGGUGACGGUGACUUCCUAUUCCUACAUAGAGGGUGACGGUGAGUUCCUAAUACAGCGAAGGUGACGGUGACUUCCUAUUCCUACAAAAAAAAAAAAAAAGAAAUAAUUGUAUUUGACGUAGAAGUGACGUGGAACCGAGCGAAAUCAUGGGAAGAUAAAGACGUUAUCUGAUGAUGCAUGCAUAAGUAACGACGUGGCAGUGACACUAGAUAUGUGACGGUGACUUCCUAACAUGGAACCGAGCGCAUGCUUAUUACUCCCUCCGUCCCAUUUUAAUAGUCCUAUUUUUUUUUUUACAUAGUUUAAGAAAAAAUAGUUAAUUUUAUUAGAAAAGUAAAUUUAGAUUGCUAUUUUUUUAAAAUAUCCUCACAUUAAAUAUGGUACAACUUUAUGGAAACUUGAAUUGAUAGUAAAAAAAAAAAUUCAAUUCUCAUUAAAUGGGGUAAGUUUAUGGUAACAAUUACUUACAUUGAAUAAGAGUAUUUUAGAAAAAUUAAAAUACAACUACAUUCUUCAGUUGGAAAGUGGACUACAAUUUGGGACAGAUAAAAAAGGAAUACAUGACUAUCAAGGUGGGACGGAGGGAGAAAAUAAGAAAAUAAUAGGGAGAUAAGGACUAGAAAUUAAUUUUAUUUGAUGUAUAACUAAAGUGGUAGCGAAGGCAAAAAUCAACUCGAUCUAAUUUGGGCCGUUGAGACGUUGUUUCUUGACAGCAACAAAGACGUUGUUUAAUCUAAUUGUAAUCAAAUUUCGUUAUUAAUGUUCGAGUCGAAGCAUAGUCAGAUUCAUUGGGUUGUUUGUUGAUUAGAACAUCCCAUUUUACGUUUUGGUAUGAAGUAAUAGCACCGAUAGUAGCAAGUAACUACUUGAGAUACACUUACCUUACCGUAAAAGAAGAUUAAGGAUUAAGGAGUAUAGAUUAUUUGAGAAGCGUCUACUACAUUUACACUUAAGCAAGGAUUAAGGAUUAAGCAUUAUUUGGGAAAUGUGUAGAACAUAAGGUAUCUUACUUCGAUUACGCAACUACCUUGCAACAAGGAUAGGCUUGCUUUUUUUCUUUUUCUUUUUUUUUGUUGAGUGGGAAUAGUUAUCCAAUAAAUUUUUUAAUUUUUAUUUUCUGGUGCACUAUGAAUCAUGUCAUUUUAUUUAAUUAUUAUUAUAAUAAAACGUAUAUAACUUAUUGGAUUAGUUUUGAAAUUGGAUAAAUAGCAAGAUUUUGACGGAUAAAUUGGAGAUAAGCUCCGUAAAUUAGUGGUAAACACUUAAUCUAGCUAGAAAGUGAAGGUAUGGAAUCUCUUCAUUAACUAACUAAUCCGAAUAUAAUAUGAUAUGGUGGAAACUAGAUAGGAUACAUAGAAUCUCUAGAUUAACUGACUAAAUCUUGAAAUCGGGUGGGUAGCAAAGUUUUGGCUGGAUAAAUUGGAGAUGAGCCCCUGGUAAACACCGAAUAUAGAGAGUGAAGAUAUGGAAUCUCUUCAUUAACUAACCAACCAAAUCUUGAUAUGAUACAACAUGACUAGGAAACCAUGUUGUGCAAGGCCUAGCUUGGGCCCACCUGAAAUAUUGUUUAAAAUAUAUAUAGAAAAAUAGCAGCAAUAUUAGAAUUAAAUAUAUGGCAAAUAUAGUUUCAACAUGAUAGUGUUUUUGUUUAGCAUUGCUAAUUCGAAACAUUAGUCCAAAAAUAAGAUAGUCCUAAGUUAAAAAUUAACUAAAAAAUAAAAUACAUAUACCUUCACAUGUCUUUAUUUGAAAAUAUAAUAAUAGCAUGAAAAACUGUGUCGAUAUCGUUAGAAAAAAAAUAACUCGUUCAACUCGCAACUUAGAGUCUAAAAGCAUCAUUUAACAUAUAAUGUCCCACUGAAAAGUAUAAAUGGGAAUACAUUGACCACAUUUAGAAAGAAAAUUAACAAUAUGAGUUAUGUUAGCAAAUUCGUCUCAUUUAGAAAAAGAAAAAUGAAAGAGAAAGGCUUAAAGCAUGGGAACAAUUAGAGAGAUAAAGGAUGGAAAGAAAUGAAGGACGAAACAGUGGUACAUUAAGAUUUGUGUAGGUUUUUGUCAUGAUAAAAAAGGAAAGAGAAAAUAAGGAAAAAAAAAAAGAAAAGAAAUUAAAUCACCUUCCUCAGAAAGAGUAUGCCACUUGUCAAAAAGAAGAGGAGCCAUGUGGCUACCAUUGGGGCUGCUACAGUAACUUCCUUCUCUUUUUAUUAUACAAGGUAGAUAUGGUGGAAACUAAAUAGGAUAUAUAGAAUCUCUACUUUAACUGAUAUGACAUGAUAUGAUGGAAACUAAAUAGGAUAUAUAGAAUCUCUACAAUAACUGAUUAACUGAUAUGAUAUGAUAUGGUGGAAAAUAAAUAAGAUAUAUAGAAUCUCUACAAUAACUGAUUAAUUAGUUAGAAAGAUAGAUUGUCUUGAUUAACUAAUCCACACUAAAUCCACGGACAAUGUUUAUACCUGGGGUUUUUUUUUAAUUUUUCUAAUGGGUGCCAAUGAAUAUUUGUUAACACACUUUUUUUUUUUUUUUUUUUGUUAAUGACUCAAGUCAGACGUAAGUUAUAAUGUAAAAACACAAAAUCUCAUUUAUUACACACAUUGAGUUAUAACAAGUGCCCCCAAAACGCUAGUACUUAGACCCCUCUUAACAAGUGCCCAAUAGGUAGACAAACUGAUUUUUUUUAAUUUUCUAUAUAAUUUCCAAUUUUUACAUGUGGUUCAAUUUUUAUAAACAAAUUGAUGGUGCUAAAAUAAUAUAUGGUAGAUAUAUAAGAAUAAACUAAUAUUUAAUUCCUUAACAUAUCGAAAAAGAAAAGAAUUUAAUAAGCAAAAAUUCAUUAGACCAAAGAGAAGGAAAAGAUGUCCAUACAAUGAUUGUAAAAGAGGAGUAAUUGAUUUCGAAUUGUCUAAUUAUUAGGAAACAUAUUAAAUUAUAAAUUAUCUAACUACAAGGAAAAUACAAAUAUUUUCUCCAAUUAUAUAAAUCAAAAAAUAGGCAUCCUAAAUUUUUGGUAAGGACGGAUUAUAAAUAACAAAACAAGAGAUAAACCAAUGCAAAAUAUGUACAUGUAAGGAAAUAAUAUAAUACUAGCUUUAUAGGCCAUGCUAUGCAUGUGAAUUAUAAAUUUUGAAAAAUAACUAAAAUUUAAAAUAAAGUUAUAAUGGUUAAAAAAUUUAUCUAAUCCUUACAAUGAAAAUGUAAAAAGCUUAGAGUGCAUGAAAAUUUUGUACAACUGUACAAAUAUUAAUUCUUAUCUAAAUUUGUGAUUAUAGUUGAAAGAUGUAGGCAUAUUUUUCUCUAACAUUUAAGUUUUAACAUUAUUUUCAAUAAAUUGUAGCUAUGACUCUUUUUAGGAACCUUAUACAUACACUUGAAAAUAUGCGUGGUUACUUCAUUCUCGUAUUUAAAAAUAUGGACGCACUUGAUUGAAUUUGUUGAAAUCAUGAUAAAAACCUACUAUAAUUUAUUAAAACUUUCUAUAAAAUGUACCUAAUGUAAAUUUGUUUAGAUAAUUUUUUAAUUUAGAAAAUAAGAAGUCAAGAAUAAGAUGAAUAUUUGAAAUAUUAAAUUGGAUUUUUUUUAUCAUGACAGUUUGACAAUCUACAAAACUUCAUUUUAAAUGUAUGAAGGUUUUAAGUAAAUGUGGUAAUGAAGUUUCUUAAUUAUUUGAUAGUCACCAUUUUGACAAGAAAGAAAUUUAUGAUUUUGGAUUGUUGGGCACUUAUGUUGGUGGUAAAUAUGGUGACUCUAGUGAUGAAUGGGUUUGCUUGACGGUUGUUUUGAUUGAAAAGAAAUUGCUAAGAAAUUGUUUGUAAAGGAUAAAGUUUGUCCACUAUCACGAAUAAAGAUGAAAAUUAAUUUUAAGGUGUUGCACAUCAUCUCUACAGCUUUAGAAUUUUCAAUAACGUGAGUUGUUUGAGAUGGAGUUGGACCUGUCUCAAUAGAAAGUUUAAUUUAAGGAAGGCAAUGUUGGCAAAAUAAACGAAGUUUAGAAGUAUGUAUUUAUUUAUUUACUACUUUUAUUAGAGUUAGGUUUUUAGUAGUUGGGUUAUUUAGGAGUAUAUACUUUAUUUUGGUAAUUAUUGAUGUAAAUGAUUUCUUAUCUAACAAGUCUAGUAGGUUAUAAAUAGAGGAUUAGUUUUGAUAUAUUCUUAAAAAAAUCCGAAAGAGUUUAUAAGGUUUUAUUGUGGUAUAACUUUCUUUCACUAUUUUGAAAUAUAAUAAUAUUGUGAGUUAUUUAUGUUCUUCUCUCCUACAUAAAUAUUUAUAUUAUGAGUGAUUAUUUUACACCUUUAAUUUUAUAACCCUACAUGCAUCAAUUAUUAUUACAACCCUAAAUUUGAGGUUCUACAAAAUUAAAUAUAGAAUUACCUUAAAUUUAGUUUAGUUGCACUAUCUUGAAAAGUGUUGUGCCUCUCAAUAUAUGUGUUAAGAUAGUAAAGAACAUAUGAAGUCAAAACUUAAGUCACAAAAUGAAGAGAUCCGAAAUCAAUAUAGGUUCUACUACUGUUUAGUUCAUGGCUUGCAUUUACAUGCACAUGCUAUAGCCUAUAGCCAAGGACAAAAUCAGGCAGGGCAGGGAGCUAGAAGCCACACCUAAGAUUAUAUCCAAAUCCCAUAGGGACUUUAAGGCUUUUUUUUUUUCAUUAAUUUUUACUUAAACUACGCUAGUAUCACCUCCCGAAACCUUAGCGCUUAUAUGUUGCCAUUCUUUCCAAGAGCAAUGCCAUUUCUUUCUUUAUCCAAGAUUAGGACCUUAACCGUCUCUUCCAAGAGGAGCACAAUACCUUAAACCGCCUGUCACCUACCUGUCAUUUGCAAAUUAAUGGACCUUUUGUUGUUUCUAUUGUUUAAAAUCCUUUUUUGUUUUUGGACAAAUAUUAUUGUUUAAAAUCCUACCAUUCGAUUCCACUACUUAGUAUAUAUAGGAUAUGAGAUUUAAAACCUCUAGAACAAUGCACAUCACCAUAUGACCAAAGAAAAUAUACAUGCAUAAGCUAUAUAUAGAUAAGAUGUUCAUUAUCUAUAAAGAGUUGAUGUUAUUUGAAAGCUUGAAUACCUGUCAAAUUCAUGGCUAAGAUUUUCCUUAUCAAGAUAAGACUCACCGAAUCGACCUGCGGAUUAAUCAAUACAUAUGUACUUAUACACUUAAUUUGAAAACUUUUUGCCAUCAUAAUUUGAUACUUCAAAGAAACUACAACUUCCUUAUUCCCUGCGGCAUGGUGAGAUUUAAUACGCACAGCCUCUACACCUCCAAACCCACUCCCGAAACCUUAUUUGACAGUUUGCAGCACAUAAUUAUUUAUAUAUAAAUCCAACGUUGGAUUAAGGAUCCAACAACAUUAUCUAAUGAUUUAAAUUCUUAAAAUCAUCUAAAGACUGAUAAUUCUUAUUCUAUAUCUUACACUAAAUUUAAUCUUAGCAGUACAUUACUUAAAAAGCAAUGCCUGUUGCAUAUGGAUAUUAUUUUCUCUUAGAAGUUAGGGUUUCAAAUGUUUGGGAGGCAUAAUCACAAAGAUAAACUUAGGAAAAAGUUAGAACCUAUUUAGUGCAACAAAAGCAAACUCUACAAAACCAAUAGUUUGGUUUUGGUAUUUUAGAAUCCUGCCAUCUCUAACAUCGAUAUAGAAUCCUUGAUUAAAUGGAUCUAAAGCAACUGAAUCGGACCAAUAGGUCCACUAGGAGGAAGAUUGAUUCGGUAAACUUUUGAUAUGGAUCAAAGGUAUAUAUCUGACGAAGGAGCAGCAGAAUGACGAAGAUGAUAAGCAUUACAAAUGUUCUAAUCGUACUUUUGCAAGAAAUUGCAUUCAUUCUCAGAUGACAAGGCCAAUGUAAUAUUGUUAUAGGCAAAAGACCACAACGAUUAAAUGCCACCUUUCAGUUUCCUCCAACCCGGUUUCCCUAACUUCUAGGCAAAUAGGAUUGCUAUAGGUCCAGCCUCUCGUGUAGACAUGGAAAAUUGAAAUCAAAUAGGCAAUAAAGCAGCUGAAAGGCAGAGAAUGAGUUCACCUAAAAAAAGUGAUGGUAAAAUCACCACAUGUAAAUGAUAGAUACAAACAUGAAAAUCUGUGAAAUUAAAGAGAUGGACCAUCAUUUAAUUUGUGUCUAUUGAGUAGCAUUUUCCAUUCUUACUUUAGUCUUUAUAACCCAUGCAAAUCGCUAUCUUUAGUCACAAACUUAUAGUUUUUAGGGUUCUUUUUUUCUUUUUGUUGCAUGGAUGUCAAAAGGCUUAUCAGUUAUCAUAUUUGUUCAUUCACUCUUUAUUUGUAGAUCUACAUCUCUCAAUUUUACCUAUUGAAUUCCAAAUCUCUAACUUACACCUCCUCCCGUCGUACCACCUAAUCUAUCAUUCCCCCUUCUUUUUUUUUUUUACUUCAUCAAAUUGGCUCCAAAAAGUUGGUUACAUUUCGGUUAUAUUGAUAUGUACAUUGAAUUUCGUGUAAGCAUGGCAAAAAGCUCAAAAAUUUAACGGCCGCUAAGAAAAGGUCUUUUUUUGAGAGAUUAAAUAAAAGACAUUUUUUGAGAGAUUAAAAAAAAAAAAAAAGGACCACCUCUUGGUAGCCGUUAAACUUUUAAGCCUUUUGUCAUGCUAAAAAAUUUACGGCUACCAAGAAAAGGUCCAAUUGAGUUAACUCCAACGAACUUCGAGGGAAGAACUUAUGUUAAGAUUUGGCUAUUUGGAGCCAACUUUUAAUGUUAUAAAUUUUAUUCAUAGCAUAAGUAUAAUAAACACAAAUGAAUCAAUCAAAUUGAGGAUGCUCAUGAGUCCUUGGUCUUGACAAGGUUGAGAUCCCAAGAUUUGAAGGUCUUAGAUUCAAUUCUCGUCAGGUUGCAAAAAUGUUGUCUAACUUUAUGAGGAUCUAGGGCCUUACACGUUGGAUUUUACUCCAUUUCAAAGUAAAUUGAUAAUUUAAAAUUUUGUUACACCAUUUUUCAACUCAGUUACACUACUUCUAAACCUUUAUUACACUAUUUUUUAAUCCAAUUACAUCAAAAGAGCAAACUUCAUGGAAAAUAAAACUUGUGAGAUCCCUUCUGCAACAUUAUCAUAGUAUUGUCCCAUCAAAGUGCAGUUGUAAUAUAUAUAUUAGAAAAAAUCCACUUGUUUAGAUGAGUAAGCCACCACAGGAAAUUUAAGCUCCUCGUUAAGCUAUAGAUUGGGUUACCAUAUCUCUUGACUACUUGCUAUUAAUCCAAAAGGAUACUCCAAUGUACUCCUUUAAAAUAGAGGUGGGUUAGUCGCCACUACAUUUUCAUUAACACCUUUGGAUCCAGCCCUUAAGAGUAAAUUAGCAAUUAUGUCAUUGACAAAAAGAGAAAAAAAAAUCUAUAUAGAAGAGUCAAACUGAGGAUUUAAUGUAUUUCUAACAGAAGUUACUCAUUAGUUCCAUAAGUAGUGACAAAUGCAAAUGGAGGAGCACUAGGGGGCAUCGGCCGCCAUUGCUCGCCUUAAAUAUCCCCUAUCACCUAUUUGUACCAAUUAAAAUGUGAAGAAGUGAAAUUUAAGUUAAUUAAGACUAGUUUGUAGUUUAAUGAAAAUGGUACUAAAUAAGCCAAAAGUUUCUAAGCCUUGGUUAAUAAAUACCCAGAAAUUUCUAUAAUUUAUGACUCAUAUUCGACAGUGGGUUAGGGUCAGUGAUUGGAAAACUUCCUUUUUUUCGAUCUUGAUUCGCAUAGAAAUUCCGGAACUAUAAUCCUAGCUGAACCGGAGAGACCCGAAUUCCCACCGGUAUCAUAGAAUUACUAGGUACCGUAUGAACAGGCACGAGAAAACCCCUGUAUGGCUUCUUCAAUUUCUCGAUAAAGAGAAAUAUGACCAACUGUGGUUCGAAUAUAUAGAAAAAGAAUUUCUUUUUUUAUACUUUUUACUAUUAGAUAGUGUCCAUAAAUCUCAUAAUAAAUCCCUAAAGAUUCAUAGUGAACUUCAAUGAGAAUUUCUCUUGAAGCAAUAACGCGUUGGUCUAGUGGCCACCGGAGCCGCAAAGGACUAUCUAAAUUGAUUCGUUUCUGACGAUAAACUCCAAUUGCAUCAUAGGAAUUACAAAAAAAAGGUUAUUUCGUAUACUCAUAGUUAUUAUUGUCACUUUUUUUAGUUUGAUAGUUUCUGCGAUUCCAUGGAUUAUAUCUAUUUAUACAAAUACCUCGACGAUUCCCGCUCGUUAAUACAUAAAGCCCCAUAAGCAUAUCUUGAGUUGGUACUGAAAUGGGAUCCCCAAUAGCUGGAGACAAAAGAUUCAUAAAUAUAGCUCCCUUAGAACUUGGUAUUGUUUAUAGUUUGGUUGGUUACAUUGAGCAAAAUGUAUUUCAUGCAGGAAAAAAAAGGAAAAAGUUGUAAAUCAGUAUAAACAUGUGAAGACCCGUGGUAAACAAUUGCAAAAUGAUAUGUAUGCAUUUUUUUUCAAGUAGAAUGAUGCUUCUAUGAGUAAAUUGCAAAAUGAUAUGUAUUUCUAGCUUCACCAGUGCUCUAAAGGUCUAAUUAAAUUAUGAUAUUGGCAUAAUUUGGGUAAUUAAUCCAUUGCUGGCCUUGAAGCUAGUCAAAUUCAAUUCUGCUGCGUAAGGAUAGGUUCAUAAAACUGACUUGAGCCGAUGUCGAAAACUGUUUGGUCAUUCUGAGAUAAUGGGGAACUCUAGUUAAUUCCUUUCAAUUUAAUCAUGUCCUUCUCCAAACUAUAGAAGGAUUAAUUGCAAAGUACCCUGUGAAAUUUUUAUGGUUGCAAAACCCCCUACCCGCUAAAUUACCAAUUUCAGCCCUACAUAUCCUCAAACUAUAAUUUUUUUUUUUUGCAAUGUACUCCAAUCAAUUCCACUUCGGGGGAAUUUAUUGAGUGAAAUGUCAUUAAUGUCCCUGAGUUUAGUUGAGUGGCCAAAAUACCGUCAUUCAUUCAUUACCAUAGCUAUUUAAAUUCUUGAUCUACUGUUACAAUCUAAUGAUUUUACCAUCCAAAUUUAUAAAUCGAUUGCUGAUCUUAUUACUAUCCUAGGGUUCGUAAAAUCGUGGCUUAUUCACUAAAUUUUUUUUUUGACUUAAUUACAUAGUAUAUAUAAACUAAGAGAUGUUUUAAUUUGGAAUCCAAGGUCUUAUAUUUUAUGAAUUUUGAUCAAUGAUAUUUAUUUUCAAAUAUUUAGCCAAAAAUAUUAAUUGCAAAGUUUCUUGAACUUUUAUCUUUUGAUUAGAAUAUAAUGCCAAAAAUUUUGUACAUUUUAGUUGAACAACUAUGCUUUUUGUAGCUGUAUUGUUCUUUCUACAUCUAAAUUGCACAUGCUAUCAUGAACAAUAAGCUUAUACAUGAUUAAAAUGCUGAUAUUUGCAUUUUUUUUUAGUAGGAUGUUAUGAUUCUACUAUUUUACCUAUGAUUCAAUCUUAUGACUUUCAAAAUGAUCAAAGGUAGGAUCCUGAUUUCAAAACCGUUGUUUAUAAUUGACUCAUAAAUGCAUAUGAUUAAGAGUUCCUUUCCUGUAUGCAGAGAGAGAGAGAGAGAGAGAGAGAUUUUGAAUUUGUUAGAGAAAGGGGAAAAAACCCUCAAUAUGUUUAUAUAAGUCUUAGAAACAUGGCAUUUUAGCCACUUAAACUGAAUCCAAGGAUAAUAAUGUCUUUAUACUCAUUAAUUCCACAGCAGUGAGUUCAUAGGAGUACAUCGUGAAAAAUUGAUACUUGGAGGAUUUAUAGUGAUGAAAUUUUUAGUUCAGCGACACUUUACAACCUGAACAAAGUUUAAGGGAGUAUUUUGUAAUUGACCCAUAGUUAGAAAAAUGAGACACGGUAAAAUAUAGAGUACGGGUACCAAAAUAAACCAACCAAUGGCAGAGCUAGGAUAAUUUUCCAGUGGGCCACAAAUAUUGAAAGAAAAUUUUUUGUCUAUACGUCAGCUUAGAAUAAUUAUACUCACACAGAAACUAUAGCAAUAGAAAUUAUUAUAUAUACUGACAAUAUAUACACUAUCAUGCAUGAUAACUAAUCUAAAUUUGAAUUUGAAAUCCAAAUUUUACAUAUGUCAUGCAUUCAACCAUGAUAACGUAUAUACUGUCAGUGUAUAUAAAAUUAACUCUUACAUAAAACUACAAGGGAGCCAAUUAGAUAUUUUGAAAUAUUAAAAGGAUCAUGUGACCAUAUGCAAAACUACAUGGGGAUUAUUGGUAAUUUAUCCUAUUAAAUAAAAAUGGAUAAGUUGAUACUAUUGAAAAUGGAUAAAACCCAAAAACGAUACUAUUGAAAAUUAGUUAGGUUUUAGAUUUUAAUUUUAACAACAUCUUAUUUGAUAAGUUGUUGUAUCAAAUUAUUUGAUUUGUAAUUUGAAUUUUUGUUCGAUAGGAUUUUAUCUUGUAAUUUGAUUAUUAGUUUGAUAGGUUUUUAUGUUUUGUAGUCAUUAUCUUUGUAAUGCAACUUCUAUAUAAGUUCUCACCAAUGUUAAUGACAUUGCAACACCAUAAUAACAACAUCCUUUUCUAAAAUUUAUCAAAGCUUCUGGUUCUGUUGACCGCUGUUUAGCGGCAGGUCCCCAAUUUGACCCCCACUAAUAAUGUGCUAGCAUCCUUGGGUGGGCCACAAGGCCAAGAUACCCCUGCGUUGUUUAACAAAAAAAAUCAAAGCAAGAUCCAUAUUUUUGUAUUAACCUUUUGCUCAAGAUUUCUCCAUUACUUGAUUUACAAAGAGAAUCAGCAAACAAUAUGUCAACAUCUGGUGCUAUUGAUUAUAUAUCUCCCUAUUAUCUUCAUCUAUCUUACCAUCUUAGUAUGGUUUUAGUAUUUUACAAUUAUUGGGUGAAAUUUUUCAUUAUUGGAGAAAUACUGUUAAAAUUGCUUUUGCAGCAAAACAAAAAAAAAAAACAAAAAACCAUGCUUUGUUGAUGGAAGGACAGUGAUACAACAAUCAUCUUUCUCAACAAUUAUGGUGUAGGAUGGCUGUAGAAAAAUUGUUAUCCCAUGUUGGUUUUUCAAUUUCUUUCAUGGGAAUCUAUUUUUGGCUGUUUUUCUCCUUCCAAUUUAUGUCAAGGGUUAUGUCAUGGAUGGUUGUUUUGUUCCCGAUUGUGUUCCCCAUCCUUUUUUAUGGAUGUAAUCUUGCAUGCCUUUCUUAAGGAUGUGUGAUACGAACGGCACCAACCUUGUGAUACAACCCAUACAGACAGGAAGGAUCUAGAAGGUAGGAUUCAUGUUGGAGACGACGAACGCAGCGGAUAACCUAAACCCGUUGAUCACGUGGUCAACGAACCUCGAUAUUUGGUAGAAGACGCCACAAUCUAGCGCGGUCCUAGAUUGAUAAGUCGAUUGAAUACCUAAGAAUGAAUCUAAGAUAUUCAAUGGAUGCUUCAAAGAAGUUUUGAGAGAACUCUCAAUGUAAUUUUAUUAAUCAUCAAAAAGUGCUUCUGAAGGUCUCUUGCCUUGGCUAUAUAUAGUCAUACAACUUGAAAACCUAAAGUGACUUGAAAAUCCUAACUCGGCUAGGCUAGGCCUUUGGCCCGAUUCCACUACUCGAAUCCACUAUCUAAUGGUCAGCUUAUAAUCGAUCCAAUGAAGGUUUUAAGCUGGCCCAACAUAACCCAAUAAAAGCUAAUUAACCAAUUUAAGUAAUAGUGAGCCUAGACUCUAUAAAUCAGAUCCAACUCAACAUGAGGUCUUGGACCGAAUUUAUUCCUAGCAAAUAAAAAUAGAAAUCUGGAAAAUAAACUACUAACUAUUACUAAAAGAUUCAAUCUCUUGCAGCCCAAAACAUGGCCCAUAAGCGGCCCAUAUUUCGUAUCAACGUGCAUUUAAUCCCUUUGUUGGAUAUUCAUUUUUAAUUUAUAUUGCAGGAUAAUUAUUCCCACUGACAUUAUUUCCAAUGGAUUACAUACCAUUUCAAUUAAUGGGUUAUAUUAUGGGUUUUAUUCCCAUUAACAUACUUUCCUUUAAUGGUAUGUCCCCUUUUCAUAGUCAUCAAUCUUCCUCAUUUUGAAGUAAUAUAAAAAAUCGAUGACCUGAAGAGAUUCAAGACUCUUGAUCACGAUCGAUUUCAAUUUUUGGUUUUCAAGCUAGAAGUUACAAGCGUACACUCUGCAGCUUGAGGGGGAGUAUUGAAUAUUAUUUAGGUUUUAGAUUUUAAUUUUAGCAUCAUCUUAUUUGAUAACUUGUUGUAUCAAAUUAUUUGAUUUGCAAUUUGAAUUCUAGUUUGAUAGAAUUUUAUUUUGUAAUUUGAUUUUUAGUUUGAUAGGUUUUUUUGUUUUGUAGUCAUUAUCUUUGUAAGACAACUUCUAUAUAAACUCUCACCAAUAUCAAUGAUGAUAUUGGAACGCCAUAAAUAACAACAUCCUUUUGUAAAAUUUGUCAAAUACGAAUCUGGCUGCAAUGAAUUUCAGAGGUGUGGCCGGUCACAGGACCAAUCUUCGUCUGGUUCAACGCUCCUUCUUCGCUGACACUAUUACAACCAGUAAUAAAAAUAACAAAUCUAACAAGCAAAUAAAAACACUAAUAACUAUGAAAACCACCCUCAUUAAGAAACCUAAAAUGUCUUCUUCAGUAACUUUAUUAACACGAAUGAGGGGCUCUUGAACCUAGGGUCCUCGUGCUAUAUCAUUUCCAAUCUGCCACAGAUCAUGGAAAAAGUCGUCUUACUCAUGUAAGAUCGACUCAGAAGUAUUGGAUUGAUAUUACUCUUUUCCUUUAGCAUGUUGUCCAAUUACAUGAAAGUUUCAGAAUUGAAUCUCAACAGGUUUCCUAGAGUGAUGAAACCAAAUUCAGAUAAUUUAAUAUUGCGCCAAUUGAAGACCAUGCAAUAUGCUAGUAAUCAAACGACACAGCAGCCAAAUUCUGAGCAUCUAAUAGAAAAAUGUUAAUUAAGGAACAGAUAAAUUAGAUGAAGUAACAACUAAAAGUUCACUCACAGAAAUGCAAUCAUUUUGUUCUUAGCAUUACAUGAAAGGUGGGCAAUUCCAGCUUUGUCCUGAUCCUUCUGUAAUCUGUUAUCAAUCAAGAUAGAGUUCUUUGUAGGCAUCAUAUCCAGUGUCCGAGAAGGAAUCAGGUCAUCUGCAUACCAAUUGUUCCCAAUCAAAUUUUUACUUGCUAGUGAUGUCCAAGUACACCAUAACGUACUUGCUGCAUAUCAUGCAAUAUCAUUUAGGAAACACAGCUAAAAAAUUAAUUAGCAGAGAGCACCAGAUGUUCUUGACUUCUUAUCGUGUACUGUUUCUUUAGAUCAGCACUGAAGAUUUACUAGAGAAACAAUCUCAAAUAGGUAGAGAAGCAUAUGCUAUUUACAAAGUUCAAAAGCCUAGAGAAACAUUUAGAUGUUUCUCUUAGAACUUCCAAGUUUCACGAGUUUUUGGAAUCUUGCCUCAAGCUAAUACCACAUGCUGAACCUCAUCAACAAUCGUCUGCAUAAUACCAAUUGCUGUAACUGGUUUAGACUCUCUCUCUCUCAAUCGUUAAAAUGGUUUCAAAGUUUAAUUCAUAUUGAUAGUAUUUUUGUUUACAGUAUUAUUCUAUGUAUCCAAAAUUUAAUUAGCAAGAUUCUAAUUACAAUUUUAUGGAAUACAUAUAGUUACCACAUUUAGAAAGUGGGAGGUCUAUAAUUUUGCUAUUGCUGCAAAAAUGAUAUGAAUGAGGCAUCAAAUUAAUUGGUAGAGUGAAAGGCAUAAAAGUGAGCCAUAACAUGAUCGAGCCAUACAAUUAUUCCAAACAAAUUUUGUUAUCCUUAAUUGCAGAAAAACUGAAAAUUUUUUUUUUUUGAAUGUACUCCUUAUCAUUUUUCUAUUGUUCUUUCUUUGCUAGAUUUGUGUUCCAUCAUAGACCUCGUACAUCAAUAUAAUUCACAUUUGGCCUCUUUUCUCACCAAAUGUUGCCUGUUAAGUAUAUUUUGUCCCGGGUGCUAAGUUCAAAUUCAAUUGGAACUCAAUUGAUUGUUACUUUAAAUAUUACACAAUAAGAGUAUUCUUGACCAAAUGAUUAAUACACAAACUUGAGAGAAAAAUAAACAUAAAAAACUCAAUAUAGUAUUAGGAGUAUCUUGAAAAAUGUAAAGGGAACAAAGCAAAUUUAUGGGAAAAAUAAAUCAAUAUUAGUUUUAGAAUGUAAGAAACUCAAAAAUUGUACUCUUCCAUAGUCAGUAAGGCCUAUAUUUUUGUAGUUCCACUUAGUGCAUUAUAAGAGCCAGCAUGAAGAAAGGUUUAGUGGUUGUCAAGGAGUUGAUAGUCAAGAUGACAUGUGUAAAAUCAAUGAUUCAAAAAUUCUUUUUUUUUAAAAAAAGCAUGUACACUAAUAAAAGAAUAUGAAAAUACAAAUUUUAUUUUUGUUUAUACCCCGUCUCUUUAAGUGAAUGUGAACGCUUCAUGUCAACUAUUACACAUGAAUUUUAACAUAUGUAUAACUAUGUUCAAAUAAUUGAGUAUAAUCAAAGGAAAAAUAGAAAAGAAAUUAUGUACAUGCUUAGUUUUGGUGUAAAAUUUGAUUGGAAAUGAGUUUACAUUCACAUGAUUAAAAUGCAAUGGACAUUAUGUUCAUUUAUAAUACUCCUAUAGUCAUUUAUAAAAGGAUGGUCUGUUAUAACUUUACAAAUUUUGUCAAAAUCUCAUCUAACCCAAUAUACUUUUUUCCCUGCGAAAUUGCCCGCUAACUUAUAACAUAGCCCAGUUUGACCAUUCUAUCUAAUGGAUUGACUAAAUCAAACGGAUACAUGCCACGGGGGAUGCUAAAUGCGUCUAGGCAUAAAAAAAAAUGGAGCACUACGUAAAUAUUAGAACUAUACGGGCCUCAAUCGUAAAAUUGCAAAAAGUUAGGUUAAAAAUAUGGAACAAUAGAAAAUUGAGAGACUUGGCAGUAAUUUUUCAAACACAUACUCAUCUACAUCUAUCGUGUCAUAGAAUAGGUAGAUUCUACUAUUAUCCAUUUCGAGUAUCACAUCCACAAGUGAAAUUUAAUGUUGGAUGAUGCAAGAAGUGUUAUUAAACCUUAGAUUAAACAUUGUUGAAGUAUUUAAAACUUAAACUAUUAUCUUUAGAGAUAGAUAAAAGUUGAGAAAAUGGUACCCAAAAGGAACUAUUGAAUUUUCCCAUAGAAUAAUGCCCACUGGUGGGUAGGUUUCUAAUAAGGUGAAACAAAACCGUCUCUUCUUGCUCGUCUUAGCUACAAGCAUGGAACGUGAUCACCGCAAACUUAAUUUCUUUCUCUGUUUAGUACAUGAGAAAAACAAAAACUUACCUACAUAGGGCUAAAUGAAAAACAAAAGAUAAUCACUUCUUGAAAUGUCAAAAAAUAUCUUGUAGAUAUCAUGUUCGUGUCAUAUAUUGCAAAUUCGUCUCGCUUAAUCGAUUUACAGCCAGAAUGGUCAAAUGGACCGUUUCAAGUUUUGGUGGCUUGCUUACAUAGAAAAAUGUAAUUUGAAUUAGAUGAGAUUUUGAAAAAGCUUGGAGACCCAUGGUGCACUCUACCAUUUAUAUACCCAUAUUUGAGAUCAAAAUUAUGCAAUGUUGGCCAUAGAAGGAAAACGAAUUGAUAUCAUCAUUUAAUUCAUAUCUAAUCUUUUGAAGGGCUUCUCUGACACCUAUAAUUCAUAUAACCUACCAUGCAUAUAUAAAUACUAACAAUUAUUAUCAUCUCUCAUAUUUAUAUACUUUUUCUAUUUAAUCUUACCUACCCUCCUAUUUGUUUACUUAUCUUAAUUAGUCUUAUAUUUUUAAAUAUAUGAAGUUAACGAGUGCCCAAUAGACAUCUGUUAAGCAAACCUUUUUGUGAAACUUUAGAUUUAAUUGUAUAUUAAACAUAGAGGAUAGAGAGGAACAUGAUAAAAAAAGAGCAUAAUGUAUAUUUUUAGGGUUAUAUUGUUUUCAGACAUUCCUAAUAAUUGUUAUUGCAUCAAACACAAUAUUUAGGUAGCUUUCUUGGUAACUAAAUUCAGUAUUCAAAUGCUAAAGUAUUGCCUGCAGGCAUACAUGUUUCUAAAAAUGUGAGAUCAAAUUGCCACUUCUUGCUCAUGGCUUUGCUACAUACAUGAGAGUACAGUCACCACAAAAUUUGUUUCUCUCUUAGGUAAAUUGAAAAAAAAAAAAAAGCCACAUGGAGCUGAAUGAAAAACAAAAAUAAUCACCCAUUGUUCAUUAGUUCAUUAUAUGAAAUGCCAAAAAUGUCUUGUAGAUAUCACAUGCAUGUCGUGUAUUAUAAAUUUUGUCUCACUUAACCAAUUUAUUAGGGUGAAUUAUCAUAAUGGACCAUUCCAAGAAUUUGGUAGGCUAAUUGACUCAAAAAAUUGUAUGGUGAGCUAGAUGAAAUUUUGAAAAGUUUGGGGAACUAUUGUGUACGAUACCCUUAUAAAAACAUAUUUAGAACAAAAUAGUGCAAUAUUUUGCCAUAGGAAAAAAAUAAAAUAAAUAUGGUCAUUUAAUUCAUAUCUUAAUUUUUUCGAACUUGAGAUUCGAUGGUUUUCUUGAUAUUGAAAGCAAAAAUAGAAAGGAACAUGAUUAAAAAAAAAAGAGUACAAUGUGUAUUUGUAAGCUUACAAUGUUUUUAAACAUGCCUAAUAAUCGCUAUUGCAUGGAACACAUCAUUGGUUCUCUUAGUAAUCAAAUUGUGUGGUCAAAUACUAAUUAACUUUCUGUAUAGAUAGUAGAGUAUUUUUAUUAAACAAUGAGAGACUCCGCAAACAUACAUUUUAAUGGGCUUGAAUUCAAUAACAGGGAGCUUCUAUUCUAUUUGCUUGAAUAGAAUCUUAUCCUUCAUUUUACUCUUAGCACUUUUAGGGUAUAUUUGAUAAAAUUGAAAUCUGAAAAUUGAAACCUGGAGUUUGAAAUCUGAAAUUUGAAUCUAUUAAAUUAGUGAAUUAUUAAGUACUAAAUUUGAUAUAUUUGAGUUUACAUUACAUUAAUUGAUAAGUGAAUAGCUUAUCACUAAUUUUUUUGGAGCAAAUUUGCCUAAAAAAUUCAGUGCCAGUUAAUGAAUUCAGAUGUUCUAGUUUUGAUUAUCAAAUGCGUCUAAAUAUGUCAAAAUCUAAAUUCAUUAAAUUUAAAUGCUAAAUUGGGUUAUCAAACAGAGCCUUAGUUUGAGUAUUCGGUAAAUGGAAGUACUAUGCUCAAUAAAAUAGUUGUCCAGUUAGUCAAAUUUCCACUAAUUUUUGUGGGAGUUUGUUUGGAGAGUUUGGGUGUGAGUAGUUAUCUUUCUUGAUAUUGAUAUUCUGUGCUUUCCAAUGAGAUUGAAAAUCAAUUAAAUUUUGUAAAAUUUUAUAAAAUUUUUUUAUAUGCUUUAUUGAAGGAGAAGGUUAAUCUUAAUGCCACACUUGAAAUAUUUAAUAUCUCUAUUAUUUUCAGUAGUUUCAAUAAAAAAAAAAACUUUGUAACUAAGUAUCACUAAAAGUAAUACAUACAACGUAUGAUGCAUGAAUAAAACGAAUCAACCCGUAUGUUAUUAUUAUGCUAGGAUUCAAGAACUGCACACGAAUUCCGUUCAAGAAGUAAACAAAUUUAAUAUACAACAUAUGUCAGAUGUAAUUCAUUCAUGUGUACAUAAUAUGUAAUCUAAAAGAAUUUGUUGAUAUAAAUAUCAGCCAUAUAUAAAGUGUGAGGAAACUUACCUAUUUUCUUGAUGCGAUCAUCACUUCUAAUGGUUUUAAUUUUGCUAAAAGCAAAAGUAUAGAAAUAGUGGGGAGGGAAAAAGGUAUAGUAAACAUUUUUGUAAACCCAAGUAACUAUCUAUAUCUAUAUGUAUUGCAAGAGAGGUUUUAGUGGAGGCCUGUUGAAUGGCUUCCAAAUCUCCCAUACUUUUUUCUAGAUUUUUCAUUUAGUUUAAUACAUAAAUUCAAUUAAAAAGUUUGAAAUAGUGUGAUUUACAAGUACUCCGAUAACAAUUCAAAUUUAAAAUUUAAAACUUUCUUUCCCACUUCAAAUGAGUGCUUAAUAAAUCAUUUAUAGUUUGUUUUUAGAUUUUGACCACUUUUUCCUUCCAUAAAUAAAGAAAAUAAAUUUGGAUAAUUUGAUUAGUCCCAUAUUAAAAUCAUUCACCCCAUUACAAUUUUAUUACUUUAGCCCAUUUUAUUCCUUGAUUAAUAAAUAUUGAUUUGUCCAAUCUAAGGAAUAAUCUGAUUAGUUCCAUUUUUUAAUCAUUUAUAUUGUAAUAUUUUUAUCAUUUAUAUAGUAACAUUUUUAGCACUUUCCUUCCAGGUAUAUACAUAGAUUUGUCAAAUAUUUCAAAUAACAUAUCCAAUUAUAACCAUUCUUCAAACAUUUUAUCUAUUGCAACUAAAUUAAUUUUUUUAGCCUUAAACUUAGCCUAUUAGAUGAUUAUUCCAACUAAUGAAAUAAACAUUUUGACAUACAACGUCAUCUAGAUAAUUUUUGAAAUGCUCAGACCUUCAUUUGGAUAAUUUUGCAUAUGGCGCGGCGCGUACAUCAGAAAGUGCACAUAAAACAAAAUUUUUAUAUGAAUUUUAAAUUAAUAAAAGGGGCAUUUAGAUGGUUAUUUUUUGGAAUGUUUAUCAAAAAUUUUAAAACAAAUAUUUGAUAAAACAAUUAUCCUGGGUGAUUAUCACAAAAAAUAGUAGUAUUUCACCAAAGUUACACCCAAUUACUUUUCCUUGAUGACUAUAAUUCUAACUCUUUAUUUGAAAAAAAAAAGCCACUUGAAAAGUAAGAUAAUAAACCCUAAAUAAUAAAAAGAAUAGAAAGAUUGGAUUAUAGGGUAGGAAAGGGUAAAAGAAAGGUAUUGAAUCUUAAAUAGUAAAAGAAGCAUAAAGAUAAGAGUAUAGAAUUGGGGAGAGUAAAGUCAAGGAAGCUGUGUUGUGAGUUGGGAUGAAAUUAUCAAAAUGAGCUAUUUAUGUGGAUCAAAUAGAUAUUAGUUUUACAUGAUUUUGGUUAUCUUAUCCAUUUACAAUCCACUAUAAAAUUUUACUUAUUUUUUCUCCCAUAUUCUUUGAAUAACAAAAUAAGAUAUCAUUGUAAUCAACAAAAAUAAGAACACAUUGCAUUAAUAAAUAAAUUUUUACCUAAAAAAUAAAAAAAAAAGUUACACAGAAGAACCAAUAGUGGUGAUCAUAAGGAGUUUCAAAUUUGUCCCUAUAUAAGAAUCUCAAAAUAAUUUAGGUGUGAAUGCAAGAAAUCAAUUAACUCUUAAUGAGUUAAUUAAAAUUUUAAUGGAAUGGGAAGAAGUAAGAUAAAAUUUAACAAAAAUUAAAAAAAUAAAGAAUAAGAAAAUAAUGUUAAAUAUGCCUUUGCAAAAGGUAGAAUAUAAUUAUUGAAUUUGUAGUGAUUUAAAUUUACUUACUAAUGAAUUUGAAUCUACGUCUAAUUUAAUUAAGUCUAAAUAGGUAGUCCCAAUCUAUCUAUUUAAUAGCCACUUAUUAAUGAAUUUUAAUUGGAUUACCCAUUUGAAGUUAAUAAAAUGGUAUACCCAUACUCAUUUGUUAAAGAAAAAAUUGAAAAUUUGGUCAUUAUUUACAACUAUAUAUGUAGAGUAACAGGACAGAAGAUAAAUAAGUUGUAAAAUUGGGUAAGAGAUCGUAUAACUUGAUAGAAGCAGGGUAGGAUGAAGAAAAUAUAGAAUUUGUGAGAGAGAGAAGAGUUGCAGGGAUGUGGGCAGUUUGGAUUAGCAAGGUAAGGAAGAGAAUAAUGAAGAGUAUAGGAAUAUUAACAGGAAGUGGCGCAGAAAAUGACAACAUAGAAGGGAGGGGUAACAAUUUGUGAUUACUGUGCUUUCGGUAUUUCUUUAGAUAUUUUUUACCUUUAUUCAUAUUUUUUAAUAUACGUUAAGGUUUUAAAUAAAGUACAUAAAUACAAUAUAAAUUAGAUACUAAAAUAGCACUCUUUUAAUUUUUUAACCUUUUUUCAUGUAACUAAUAUAAAUAAUUCAUUUACUAUUUUAAUUAUAUUAAACAUAAAUCCGUGCAUAGCACAGGUUGCAAUGCUAGUUUAAGUAGUAUUUGUAAUUCCAAACUACAUCUUGACAUCCUUAAGUUAAAUUCCAUUGUUAUUACUGCUCUUCCAGUAUCUUCUCUCAACCUCCAAUCACUAACUGCCAUCUUUCGCUUCUUCUCACUAUCCCUUAGCAUUCCUUGCAGGAAAGUCAUAUUUCACUCAUUUCGCACAUUCGUGUGCUCUAUCCAUAGACUCUUUUAGUGACAUCUAAGCUCAAUGUCACACACAUAUCUAAUAAAAUUAUGUUCAAUUCCUAUAUAGUAAGUUGUUGAAUUGAACGUAUUCAGCUCUACCAAGUGAACUAUCUAUCUUUCCACCUUGUGGACCUCUUUAUUUGUGUUUUUUUAUUUUUUUAAUUCUUUUCUAUUUUUUUUAGUAACAAUUAGCUCCCUUCCUUUUUUUUUUUUUACUUCCUUAUUUAUAGUAACUUUUAAUCAACUUAUUAAUUUCUGCUUUAUAUAUAUGCAUGUCAAUUAUGUCUUACUAAAUCUUUUUUAUCAAUCAACUUAUAGUUUUCCUUCUUUCAAAUCUUUCAACAAAUUAUACGUAGUCUUGUUCAAGUAACGGAUUAAGAACUGAUUAUGCUAACAUUUGCAUCAGUCUCGAAAGUUUGACAAUAAAUCCUAUGGUAUGUCAGCGUCUUCAUGAUGGCCUGUUCUAGAAUACCUGUUUCAACUUCAUCUGUCUCAUCAUGUCCAAAGCUGUCUUUACCACAAUUAUCAGUACAUGGCUCUAGCUUUGAAUCUUUUUUUAUCAUUUAUAUCAUCAAUAUUUGUGUUCCUUGAUUACUCAUGCUUUCAAUUGACCAAAGGAUUUGACAACUACUGCUACCCUGCCGAAUAUGUUGCCCCACGAUACAGACGACUAUUAGUGACAACUGUUCUUAACAGUGUAAUAUUUUUAAAUAAAAUAUAAUUUUAUAUGAAUUAUUUGUAAAGCUUUAUAAUAGACAUGUAAUUGUUAUGAAUGAGAUAUACAUAAAUCAAUAAUAGAAUAUAUUACAUCUCAACUAUAAAAAUGUAUAAAUAAUUUAUUUAAAAUUAAAAUAUUCAAAAAAUAUUACACUAUUCAGGAAUAUUUUGCAAGGACUAUUUUUUUAUACUGUUUGGGAACUAUUUAAAAUUAUAGUAUUUGAAAAAAUUACACUGUCUCGUGUCCCAUUCAAAUGUAUUUUGUUGGGUGACUUACGUGAGGAGCAGUAGACUAAACUAUUUGUGAAUGGCAAGGUAAAUUUUGUAGUUUAUUCAACAAAUAAAAGAGAGGUAUGGAAAGAUAAAAGAAACAGCAUAGAAGCAGGCACGUUACAGCUCACAUGUACGGAGGAUGAAAGAAAUAUUUUUUAAAAAAGCAAGUUUUGACCGAUUAUAGGCGCAGGCGAUUUGAAAAUAUUGAUAGGCCCAAUGACCGUGAGGCGUACUGCGGAAGGUGGCAAUGUAUUGGGGUGUGAGGGAAUUCACAUAAGUAAAAUGGGCCUAGGAUUAAAACACCGUAGAGGAUAAGAAGUACUAAACACAGCCAUGCUGGGGCCAGCAGUAGUAUGUGUUUGAAAAGAAGUGGUGAGCUCAGAGGUGAAGAAACAAUUUGGUAAAGAAGAAGGCAAAGCGAAAUACAUAGGCGGGGUGGCGGUAGGGUAACUUCAAGCGGAGUGGUCAAGGUAGAUAUAGCUGAGCAAGGACGUUCCAAGGUUGUACUGACUGAAUGAGCCGGUGUAGUACAAAAGCAGAGAAAUCAAAGGUGAGGUGUAGUACAAAAGCAGAGAAAUCAAAGGUGAGUACUCUCGUCCAUAACUUUGAAAUAGUAAAAGGGAAGGAUUAAUAAUAGAAAACUGAUUAAAAUAACGAGUAAAACACGCAACCUCUAGUAUGAUGAAGGUUACAUUUGUUGUAAGACCUUCCGUUGAAACACAUAAACAUGGCAAUGAUAGAGAAAUAAGGAUUACGAAAUAUUACAACUAAAACCUAGUGCCUUUGAACAAAAAGGAAAUGAUAUAGGAAAAUUAUCCCUGUUUAUUUGUUCACCUAACAUUGUGUAGCCUUCGGCAAGUCUAGCACCUCUAAAAAAAUGUUUAGCGACCAUCGUUAGAAAAAACAUUGAACCACACGCGCGCAGCAUCCAUUUGGAAGGAUUGUUUUUCAAACUUGUGACAUGGUGAAGGAAACACAGGGUGGAAGGCUAAGGAUGGAUGGUGGUGGCAAAAGAAAGUCAUUUGACGUUGACCUGGAACCUGAGUGUGAUAGAGAUAUAGACAGCCCAGAAAGCGGUGGUUCAAGUGGAGGACAUCAAGAUGAGAAGGCAGAAGAAUUGUUAGGUGCAAUAGACAUGGAUGAUGUAAUGAAAUUAACAUUUGACACGGAAGAAGAAGCUGGGGAAUUCUAUAAUUUGUAUGCAAAACUAAGCGGAUUUAAAAUUCGUAAAAGUAAUGGCAAACGAGAUGCAGAUGGCAUUUCAAAGUUUCGAAAAUGGGUAUGUUAUUGUGAAGGAUACAGGGAUGAAAAGUGGUUUAAGUAUGAAGACUGGAAAAAGGAAGCAAAACCAAUUACAAGAACUGGGAAUGGGGCUUGCUUUCGCGUGAAAUAUGACAUAGAAUCGCUAAACUAUGUGGUGACAUCGUUCAUUGUGGAGCACAAUCACCCGCUGGCAUCAGAGGCAAGUGUGUAACACAUUAGGUCUAAUAGAAAAGUCAUUGAUGCAGAGUAUGCACAAGCCAAAAGUUUGAAGAUGGUUGGAGCUAGAAUCUGUCAGAUAAUGAAAUAUUUUGUUAUCAAAGCCGGAGGGUACAGUAACGUGGGAUUUUGCAUUAAGGAUCUAUAUAAUCGAAUGGAUGAGGAACGUAGAAAAGAUAUUUUUAAUGGCUAUGUAGAAGGGGCACUUGGGUUCUUGGCAACGAAGAAGGAUGUUGAUGACAUGUUCUUUUAUAAAUAUCAUGUGGAUAACGAAGGAAGAUUGGCAAGGUUGGUUUGGGCAGAUUCUAAAUCCCAAGUGGACUUCAGUACAUUUGGAGAUGUGUUGGAGUUUGAUAUGACAUACAAAACAAAUAAAUACCGUAAGCCACUAGUUGUAUUUGCAGGAGUAAACAACCAUUUGAACAGUACUAUUUUUGGAUGUGCACUGCUAUCAGAUGAGAGGAUUGAAACAUACGAAUGGGUCCUAAGUACAUUGAUAGAGGCUAUGGAUGAUAGAAAGCCAGUAGUAGUGAUGACAGAUGAGGACAGUACAAUGCAAAGAGCCAUAAAGAAUCUUUUCCCCGACCCUUGUCAUAGGCUAUAUUCGUGGCACUUGCAUAGAAAUGCAUCGAGUAAUAUUCUGUGUAAAGAGUUCAAUGACAGGUUUGUAUAACCUGAUGGCAAAAAAGUGUAGCAUACAGGAGUUUGAGGAUCGGUGGACUAGCUUUAGUUAAUGAAUGUGGGAUGGAAGAAUGACUGGGUGAAAAAGUUGUAUCACAGGAGAAAGUUAUGGGCAGAGGCCUAUUUAUGUGGGCAGUUUUUCACAAUUAUGAGAAGUACUCAAAGGUGUGAGAAAAUGAAUACUUUUUUGAACGAGUACUUGAAUAAUAAAAUGCGGCUAUAUGAAUUCGUUAGAAGUUUUGAUUUGGCAAUAACAUGGCUUUGACAUACUGAGAGCAAAGCAAUUCACACAAACGAAAACACAAAACUAGUGUUAACCACAAUUCUGCCCAAACUGGAGAGCAGCGCAGCAGAGGUGUUUACAAGGAAUGUAUUCUUCAUGGUAAGGAAGCAUUUGAAUAGGCAAGGGUUUCUAAUUUUCGAGGGUUGGAACGAGGAGGGAGAAAGUUGCACAUAUUAUUACUCAAAAUAUUGUGGACAGAAAAUAAGUUGGAGGGUCGAUUAUGAUAGGUUCACAGAGAAGCUAACCUGCUCUUGCAUGAAAUUCGAGUCAAAGGGAAUUCUUUAUGCUCAUAUGUUUCACGUGAUGGUGGUAGAAGGAAUGAACAGGAUCCCAGAAUCAUACAUUUCAAAUUGGUGGACAAAGGGAGUGAAAAAUAAUAAUGAGAUAUAGCAUUUGUUGCACCCGAACAAAUGACACAAAUGGCCAGAUAUGGCACUUUAAAGUCCAGCUAUAAUAGUAUCUGUUAUUAUGCCUCUUACAUGGAUGAUGAAUUUAAUGAACGGCAGCAGAUGUUUGACAAGCAUUCAGUAGAGCUGAAGGAAAAAUGGAUUGAUAGAGGAUUUGUGGGAGACGGGUUUGUAAUGGAUUCAAGAGUAAGGACCGAUAGAAGUAGAAGAACAUUCAGAGUGUUAGACCCGAGGGUAUCUCGGGCUGAAGGUGAUCACAAGCAAGUAGAAACAAAGAAGAAAAGAAAGUGCGGACAUUGCAAGUAGUAACGAAAAAGUACGUAGUUAUACACAUGUUAUUUGAUAUAAAACAUGAACCGGAUCUUGAAAGUAAUAAUGAAAAAGUAGGUAGUUUUUGACAUGUUAUUAUGUGCAUUAAAACAUAAACUUAAAUCCAAAGUCCAUACAAAGUAAACUAAGUUAAUGGCAAUGCAUAAAAAGUUGAAGUGGUGUAAUGUUAGCGUUUUGACAGCUUAGUUGAUGUGAUUACUUGCAGCCACAAAUGAUUUAAUAUGUAAUGAAUUGGUUUAAGAUUGCAGGCUGGCCACAACCAACGAACAUGGCCAAACAAAAAAAAUUGCCACAAUACAGCGGCACAUCGUGAUUGGAUGAAAAAUUGUUUGGAUAAAUCAUUGAAAAAUUCAUUUGGAAUUGAUAUGGGCGGGACCGAGACUGGCGAAUGGUGACGACAAGCAUUUGUGGCAGAACGAUGCAGUAGCGGUGGAAGUGACACAGGUGGCCAACAAAGAAGUUUAGGAGAAAGAGAAAUCAUGUGUUGAGAUGCUAAGUUUUGAAAAAGUUGUUAAUUCGUCAUGAAUUACAUAGUUCAUUGAUAUUAAUAUUACUGAUAACCUCUCCACUGUGUAUGCAGGAUGAACUUGAGAGGGGAAACGAAUUCGUCAAUGCAAUUGGGGAGAUGACCAAAAUGGAACAGUCCAUAUUUAAAAACAUGGAUGCGGGUACAGGGUGGUCGGUAUGAAGACAGAAAGAGUGACAUUAAGCCAAAGAAGUAAUUUUGUUUGUAGUUAGGGAUGUAUCAGACACAUAGGUGUAGUUUGGUGAACAAAGGCCUUAAUAUAUAUUGAAGAAUGGAUGUUGCAUCAAACACAUGGGAAAUUGUAGAAGUGGAACGGUUUAUAUAUUAGAUAUCAAUUUGUUUUGAGCGUGAGCAAGCCAAAUGGUAUUCGAUAAUUUGGAAUCGCUGUCAUAGCUUGUUAUGGUGCUAAAUAAUAUUUUUUACGUUAACAUUCAAGUGGAAAUAAUGUAAGUUUUUUGUGUGAUGGACAUUAAAACUGGGGUAAUGGUUGUUGUAGUUUGCAAAGAUAGACAUGCGGAUUAUAGAAAAAUGGAGACAUACAAAAAAUGUUUCGGUUUAUAGGAUAUAGUUUUAAUAACAAAUUAAAAAUCAAUUACUAUACUUGUUUAUUGUUAUGUUUUUAUUUCAGUUCACAUAACAAUUGUUUAGAGUAUUUGUUUGUUAUAUGAUAUAUAACAAGCUGAUUUUCUUAUAAAUAGUUGAGUCUUUCUAUCAUAAUUAUUGGUUUAUAGGUGCUUCAAUUGUUGAAUUAUUGGAUUAGUACAUUUGAUGAUAUAAGGUAGAUGUAUUUGUAAUAAGAAAGAGUUUAUGAUGAGAUAUUAUGAAUCAAAUGAGCAAAUAGAUGAUAUUUAAGAAAUAGUAAUCCUAUAUUAUUACAAAGUGUGCUGUAAGUAUUUUUGCAUUCAAAGGGAACAUUGGCUAGUUGAAUGAGAGAUGGGGAAAAAGAAGAUAAUAAAGCGACAAAUAAAUAGGAGAAAACGGAAAAAAUGAGAAAAAAAAUCAAUAGUUUAUAAAAAAGGAAAAAAUGGUUCGAAAAUAACGAUAGUGUUGUGCAAACAUAUAAUUCAAGGGAGGAAAAAGAUUAUUAUUAUAGUUCAAGAGAUAAACUACAAUUAGGUAUAUAGUUCUUGGGGAUUUUAUUGUAUUUAACCCCAACAAUUAACGUUAGACACAGUGUAUUCUGGUGCAAAAACUAAAAUUAUUAUAAAAAGUGGUCUUGACACAACGAAUAGGCAUGGUAAUAACAAAAAUGUAUGAUAAAAAAUUAGUUUAAAUGUUAAGCCCCUGUCGGAGGUACUUGACAAUAUGAGAGAAUAUGUGUUUAAUAAAUAGUUGACAAUUUAUUUUUUAUAAUAGCCAAAUUUGUUUCCAAACCUUUUAAUAAAUGAAAAUUAAAGAGUACGCAACAUUGGAUAAAUAUGGCUCCAUAACAAGCUUAUAUAAUUAUUGUGUACAUGCUGCGAUUUUAAUUUGCAUACUAAUGAAUUUGAUUUUACGUCUAAUUGAAUUAAUUUUAAAUAGGUAGUCCAAAUCAAAUAGCCACAAUUUUAUUGGUUUUAUUCAGUUACCCAUUUGAAACUAAUAACAUCGCAGACCCAUUUGGAUUAGCAUGUUGAAGAAGAGAGCAAUGAAAUGUGGACGGGAAGUGCUGCAUGAACAGAGAAUGUAAAAAGGAAGGUUAAUAAUAUUCAAAUUUGAUAAUAAAUUAUAAUAUUAAUUCUAUUACUAUUAUUAUUAUAUUAAAGGUAAAUCCACCAACCGCACACAUAAAUUAGGUAUUUGGGCAAAAUCUUAUAAAUAGGUUUAUCCAGACAAAAUAUACUCUAACUGCACACAAAAGUGAAUUUAUUAUUACAUCAAAAUUAUCUCUAUUAUUUUACAAAUUCAACUUGUAUACGUGUAUAAGGGAUAUUUAUCGAAUUAACAUUUGAGGUAUAUUUAUGGGUUAAUUCCACUUUGUCCCCCCAAAUUUUGGACGAUUAUCCACUUCAGUUCCUAAACUUCAAAAUGGGACACUUAAGUCCUUAAACUUAUAAAUACCUCUCACUUAAGUCCUUAAACUUAUAAAAUGGGACACUUAAAUCCCUAAACCCUUAUAAAAUGGGACACUUCGACCACCAACGGCAUUCAAGAUUUGUUAAUAAUUUUUCUUAAGUGAGAGGUAUUUAUAAGUUUAGGGACUUAAGUGUCCUAUUUUGAAAUUUAGGGAUUGAAGUGGGUAAUCGUUCAAAGUUUGGGGGACAAAGUGGUAUUAACCCUAUUUAUAUACUCCCAUUUUUUCACUUCACUCCCCCAUGUAAAGUAAUCUUUUUAAUGUUUGUUUUUUCUAUGGACUUAAAUUUGUAAUACAAACCUCUUUAUCUUUGGAGAUUUUUAUAGUUUUGCAAAUAUUAGGGAAGGCGGUAUGAAAAUGUCAGAAACCUGUAGGAGGUUUCUACAAUUACUAUAAUUUUUUAAUUAGCCAAAGCAAAAGACAAGCAAAUGCAACUUGUAAGCAAUCCAUUCUGAUUCAUGAAAAAAUAAGGGAUUAUAGUGCAAAUAAAUAAAUAAAUCCAGCUUGUCCCUGGUGUUCUUUUCAUUGAUGAAGUGCACAUGCUUGACAUAGAGUGCUUUUCUUUCCUAAACUGUGCUCUGGAGAAUGAUAUGGCACCUAUCUUGAUUGUUGCUACAAACAGAGGCAUUACUACCAUCCGUGGCACUAACUACAAAUCUCCACAUGGGAUUCCAAUUGAUUUUCUUGAUCGACUGCUUAUAAUCUCCACGCAACCGUACACUGAAGAAGAUAUAAGAAAAAUUCUGGACAUCAAGUGCCAAGAGAAAGACGUAGAAAUGUCCGAAGAUGUAAAGGUUUUACUUACAAAGAUAGGGGUUGAUACAUCAUUGAGGUAUGCCAUACACCUAAUUACGGCUGCUGCUUUGGCUUGCCAAAAGAGGAACGGUAAGAUUGUAGAGAUGGAAGAUAUCAGUCAAGUGUAUGAGCUGUUUUAUGAUGUGGAAAAAUCGCCAUUUUCAUCCCUAAACUUUUACACUAAAAUCAAUUUCAUCCUUUAUGAUUUUUUUAGCCAAUUUAGUCCUUCGACUAUUUUGAAGUCACCAAUGUAGGACUUUUGCAGCGGCGACACCACAUUUUACAUAUUCCGUACAACCGGUGAUGAGUAUGGACCUUUGACCAUAGUUCUCCAUGCUAAGCCCCAGUUUCAACAUCCUAUGGAUCCUUGAACCAGACUGGUUUGGAUCAUCAAGGCUGAAACCAGAGGUCAACAAAGCAGUCUCAUAAAGCAGCCGCACCAAGUCUCUAAUUGAUUUGUCAUUCUUAUCUUCCUCGGCUCUCUUCCUAAGCUCUUUAAUGAUUCCAUUGUCUGGGUUGAUCUCCAUUGUUUUCUUGCUUGGCAUGUAAGUGCUCAUACUGGUGUCCCUUAAUGCUUCAGCCUUCAUAAUCCUCUCCAUGUUUGUUGUCCAGCCAUAUUCCCCAGUGACCAAGCAGCAAGGAGAAUCAACCAUCCUGUCAAAAACCACCACUUUCUCAACUCUCCAAGAAUAUCCUUUACUUUACAAAGAUUCUCAAAUGACUUUUUCCUCUCCUCUCUUGCUGCUUUCUCUUCCUCAGACUCAUCGAGCUUUAAACCUUCCUUUGUUGCAGAAACAAGUUUUUUACCAUCAUACUCUUUCAACUGUGCAACAGCAUAUUCAUCAAUGGCAUCGACCAUGAAAAGCACCUCGUAUCCUUUCCUUUUAAGCUUUUCCAAGAAUGGAGAGUUCUCAACAGCUUUCUUGCUCUUGCCGGUUAUAUAAUAUAUGUCUUUCUGCCCUUCCUUCAUCCUUGUAGCAUAUUCCUUCAAGCCGGUCAACUCAUCCCCACUCUUUGUGAAGUAAUACCUAAGAAGAUCAACAAGCUUUGCCCUGUUUUGGCUGUCUUCAUCAACACCCAAUUUGAUAUUUCUGGAGAAGGCGUCAUAGAACUUAGCAUAAUCCUCUUUGUUCUCUGCAAUUUCAAAGAACAUCUCAAUGCACUUCUUGACAAUAUUCUUCCAGAUGACCUUCAAGAUUUUGUUCUGUUGGAGCGUCUCACAAGAUAUAUUUAAUGGGAGAUCAUCCGAAUCCACCACACCUUUAACGAAUCCAAGGUAUUCAGGAAUGAGCUCCUCACAAUUAUCCAUGAUGAGCACCCUUCUGACAUAGAGCUUGAUGUUGUUCAACUUCUCCGUGUGUCAAAGAGAUCAAAGGGUGCCCUCCUUGGAACAAACAAAAUAGCUUUGAACUCUAGCUGUCCUUCAACAGAGAAGUGUUUCAUAGCAAGAUGAUCCUCCCAAUCAUUUGUCACCUCCUUUAUCUUCUUCUUUUCCUUUUAUCCUUGUCUUUCUCCUCAUCUACUUCUUCAACUUCUUCUUCCUCAUCCUUCUUGGUUUCCUCAUCUUCAUCAUCUUGCUCUCUUUCUCAGUUGUCUUCUCAAUUUCAUCCUGGUGGUUCUUCGCUAACAUCCCUCGUCACAGUGAAGGAUCCACCUGCUUGAGAUUCCCAGACAAAUUGUUCAUCAUCAUUGUGCUUGGUCGUCACAACAACCUUCUCAGCAACGAGGUAGGCAGAGUAGAAACCCACACCAAACUGUCCAAUCAUGCUAACAUCAGCUCCAGCCUGCAAUGCCUCCACAAGCUCCAGCCCAUUUGGAAUUAGGAUUUUGUUUCUUGAUUUGAGUGUGUGAGAGAGAGUUUGUCCAAGUUUCCAACAAAUUCAGAUGAAAUUUUCAGUGAAAUUCAUCAGAGAAGAAGAAGAACUAUGGUCAAAGGUCGUCUAAAUUAAAGAAUCUAAUUUAAAAGAAUAAAUAUACCCAUCGCCGAUUAUAUGGAAUAUGUAAAAUAUGAUGUCGCUGCCGCAAAAGUCCUACAUUGGAGACUUUAAAAUAGUCGAAGGACUAAAUUGACUAAAAAAAAUCAUCAAGGAGGAAAUUGGUUUUAGUGUAAAAGUUUAGGGACGAAAAUGGUGAUUUUUCCUUAUGAUGUCAAGAGAUCAACUCAAUACUUGAUGGAAUUCCAGAGCCAAUAUAUGUUUAAUGAGGUUCCAGCAGCAGUAGGGGAUGAAGAUGAGGCCAAUGCAAUGGUUUCUUGAGGCGUUCCUUGUGCUCGUGCAACUUUAAGAUAACUUCAAGUUCUUGAAUUGUAUCUAAGCGCUAAACUUAGAAAAGAUUUAGUUGCGGCUUGAUUGAUUUGUAUUUUUGUGAAUGGAGAUGUACAAUUACUUGACAAAAAAAUAAAUAAAUAAUCCAGCUUGAAGCCGUUCGUUGUGACAAGCAGGCUUAUCUUCGCCUUUGUUUGAGUUUUGAUUACAAAAGACAAAACCUAUUCCCUCCAACCCCAAAUUUUAUUUAGAGUCUUCCUCCCUUGCCAGUUAGGGAGCACUGUGUCCUUAUAUUUGAGACAAAUAAAGUGAGGCGGUAUAGUUAAAGAGAUUAAAUUAUCGACAAUGGCUUCAUCCUCGUCUGCAGGCUCGGUCAAUAGCACGUUAUGGCCGACAUUAUAUUGCCAUUGUGGUCGCAGAUGUGUAGUUCGUGUUGUGUGGAAGUCGAAAGCAAAUAGGGGCCGCUACUACUAUCGGUGCGCUAAUGCCCAGGUAAGUGAAUUGCUAUUACUGUUGCGUAGACAAUAUUCCGAUUUCUCAUAUACUUCUAUUGCAGAGGCCUUGUCGUACGUUUAUUACCUGGUGUGAUAAGUUCGCACGAUCAACGGGGUUUUAAGUUCCCGAUCUCGCCCCCUCAAAUAAGGACCCCGCCAUCACUACAGCUGCGGCAGAGGUGUCUCACAUCAUAGUAGAACUAAAAAGCAUGCAAAUUAAUGUGAUGAUCUUUAACAUUGUUGUGGUUGCUGUUGUGGCGGCACUCGUAGUUCUGGUUUUGAAAUUGUGAAGUGCUCUGUUCGUUUUCAUUCCAUCCCCCCUCCUGUACAUUACUCAAAUAUGGUGUCCUUAUAUUGAAUGGGCAUUUAACCUAAUUUAUAGCCUGUUGGCUUUUGUUUCCUAGUGUUCUGUCAUUGACUUUUGUCCCUUCGUCGUCUGUCGGAUAGUGGCGCAUAUGUAUUUGGAAAACCAACGAACGGAGUGUGUGUGUGUGUGUGUGUUAAUGGUGAUAUUUGCUUGAAAUUACGCGAGAGAAUGGGUUUUGUAUUCGUUUACAUUGUGCAUUAUAUUUCCUGUCUGAAAUUCCUGUUACUUUUUCCCCUCAAUUGUGUGUGAUUAUCAAUGAAUUCAGAAUAUUAGAAUUUGCUUUAUUUCGUUUAAAUAAGUGUGAUUCAGCUCUGAAAUUAUUUAUUGACUGUAAGGCAACGCUAUGCUAUUAAUUGUCCACGUUUGUUUAGCCAUACAAGUAAAGAACGUCAUCUUGUAAAACCAGUUCUCAUAUACAACACAAUUAGUUGCCUUAACAACUUUGAAAUCCGACGAGUUGAAUUAUGAAACAAGUACUUACUUCUUAAUUUAUUUUUCAAUUUCUUCCCUUUAUAAUAUUACUAAACGGUGCACUUGUAAUUUUUCAACAUUAUAUAUUAUCAGCCCUUAACCCCUACCAUUUUUGCUUUAACAAGCACAACCCACCAUGGUAAGGUCAUUGACACAAAGGUCACGAACAAAAACCAACCCAUCGACAAAAUAUUAGCAAAACAAAAAAUUAAAAGCACGCCAUUUCAGUUAUGAACGUUCACUCAAAUCGCUCCACAAUAAGACCAAACAAAGGAUUAAUGGUGGCAACCAUAGUGGCGAUCUUGAAAAAGCACCGGUAUUUUUUGCGCCUCACAGUCAGCAGGAGACUAUCAGUUGUAUCUCUUUCUUCAAAGGUUAUUUUCACAGCUGUUGAAUUCCAGUAAAUAGUGGCGGCAUGCACGUUGUCUGUAAUAGCUACAUUGCGGGUCAUAGUGGCGUGGUAGCCCUGAUUAGCCACAAAGCGGGUGACUAACCAAUCUUCAAAGUUGAUUCCGAACAGUAUCCACACAUCGAUACGCAGUAGUGGUUUCAGACCCAAGUAGUCUGCCACAAAUUCAUCAUUCCCCACAAAUCAGGUAUUGUAAGUCAAAAUAUAAAAUGCAUUAAACUUGUGCAUAAUCAAGAGUGGUCGACGGCGCUACUUCACCAAUGAGCGGAAGACUUCCUUGUUGGCAAUGGGGUUGCGAACGAGGAUGCAAGAGACUAAUAUGGUUUGCGAAAACUCUUGUCCGAAAAACCUAUUCAACCUCACAAGUUCUUCCUCAACAAUUCACUUCACUCCUAUGUAGUGAAUUGGUAAGUACUCAUCCUGAAAGUAACCCACCAUUCCGCCAUUAUUGAAAACAUGCAUUUCUGAAAUUCGUCCUAGUGUCAUGCCGGCGUCUGCUUGCUUUAUAAAAGUGUACGAUGAGGGUUUGCUUCAAGGGUUACAAAAUACACAAGUAAAGGAGGUUGUGGUUAAAUUAGAAGUUGAUUAUAGCUUUUAGGUGCCUUCCUUUAAUCCCAAACAGAUGGAAUUGAGCGUACGGUUCAAUGGCCAUGCAAGAGAGAAGCAUUAUUGCAACCUUGAGAAAGCUCCGUUAUAUUUUUUGCUCCUUACAGUCAGCAAGAGGUUAUUAGUUGCAUCUUUUUCUUCAAAGGUUAUCUCCACAACUGUUGGAUUAUAGCAAAUAGUGGCGGCAUGCACGUUGUCUGCAAUGACUACGUUGCGGGGUCAUAGUGGUGUAGUAGCUCUGAUCAGCCAUAAAGCGGAUGACUGACCAAUCUUCAAAAUUGGUUCCGAAUAAUAUCCACACGUCGGUGUGUAGUAGCAGUUUCAAGCCCAGGUAGUGUGCCACAAAUUCGUUAUUCCCCACAAAUCAGACAUUGUAAGUCAUAAUAUAAAAUGUCUUAAAACUAUACAUAAUCGAGAGUAGCCGACAACGCCAUUUCAUCAAUGACCGGAAGACUUCCUUGUUGGCAAUGGGGUUGCGAACGGGGAUGCAAGAUACUAACAUGGUUUGCAGAAAUUUUUGUCCAAAAAACCUAUCUAACCUCACAAAUGCAUCCUCAACAAUCCACUUCACUCCUAUGCAAUGUUUUUAAACUCGGACCGGCCAGCGAACCAGAGAUAGGGACGGUUCACGGUCUAACCGGUCCGCCCGGUCCGACCGCCCGGUUCAACGGUUCAACGUUUUUUUUUUUUUUUUUUUUGCUUCAUAGUUCUUUACUCUACAGUCUACACUGAAACUUAACGGCUAAUAUACAAUCUAAUAUGAUUAUUAAUAACUUAAAUCCCUAAAAUACAUUUACCAAUAUAACUUAAAAUUAAAUUUAAGUUGAGAUAAUAAUAAAUUUUCUAAAAGUUAUACAUGUAACCUGGCAUGAUAAAUAUAACUAAAAUAUCAUAAUUCAUCGCAGGUUUUCAUAAAUUCAUUACAAACAUAAAUAGAUAUAGUCCAAAUGUUCAUCAAUUAUCACAAACAAAAACACAAAAAUAAAUAAAAUAAAUGUUGACAUUCUUUCACAAUUCUCAAAAAGUCCAUAACAGAGUUCAACUCAUAUUCAAAGCAAACAAUUUGAAUAACAAAUUUUCAUCAUUGGCAUGACAAGGCAACAGCACCUCUUUCACAAUUUCAUCAAUUUAACCUGAAAAAUUUUAAAGUUUAUUACAAAAAAUAUAAAUCUAAUUGGUAGAACUAAAAAAAAGUCAAAAAAUUUCUAAAAACAAAUAUACAACCAAACACAAAAAGAAUCAAUUGCUACUAAACAUUACUAAUUAAUAUGUUAUAUUACCAAUCAUUAUCUUCAUCAUCAUCCAAAAGGCGCCUACGCUGAAAUGCUUCCAAAUCAAUAUCAUUAUCUUCCCCAACUUCACUUUCAUCAUCUAUAUAAAUAAAUAAAUGAACAAUUAAGAAUUUAUCCAUAUUUAUAAUACAAUUCAAAUUAAAAAAAUGUACUUUUAGCACCAUAUAUUACAAGUUAAAAAUAUAUUUAUUUUAAUAUUGAAACCAACCUUCAACUAGUUGAGAAUCAUCUUUAGGAAGUUCUUCGAGUUCUUCCUCCAAUUCAUCACAAUUAAGCUCGCCAUCUUGUUCUUCUUCUAUGACCCAAAAUUCCGUUUUAUCAAUAGAUUCAUAAUCAAUGGGAUCAUAAGAUCUCUUUCGGUGAUCAAACCUACAAUAAAAUACAUUAGUUACAAAUCUAAUAUUACUUUAUAAAAUAAAAUGUAAAGAAUAAAGUAAAAAAUCAAUUAUACCUAUGUUGCAAACGCAAAUUGUAGUGCACAUAUACAAGAUCAUUAAGUCUUUGGUGCUCCAACCUAUUCCUUUUUUUAGUGUGAAUGCGUUCAAAAAUGCUCCAAUUACGUUCACACCCAGAAGAAGAAGCAGUUUGACUCAAAAUUCUAAUUGCAAGCUUUUGCAAAUUCGGAGCAUCACAACCGUAUAACUUCCACCAAUUUUCUGUCACAAUCAUAUUAAAAUAUUAGAUCAAAUAAAGAAUAAAAUCACAAUUUUUAGACAUUAAAAAAUAUAUAAAUAACCUGGCCGAUCAGAUUUGCUAGUAAGAAUAGCAAGUUUGCGCCCAAAACUCCAUUGUCUUUCCCGAUACAUUCCAAUCUCUUGCGAUAAUUUUUCAGGGUUGCACCAAUCCACUUUUGUUUCAAUAUAAUCAAGCAAGCCAUUUAUAACCUCUGGAUGUGUACAAAAUGUGGCACUCUCAUAUUGAAAAGCAGGAUUCAAAUAAUAAGCGGCAGCAUGUAGAUUUUUUCUCAACAUUCUAUCCCACCUAUCACUGAUGAUGUCAAUAUAAGGCUUGUACAAUCUCUCUUUAUUUCUAAACAGCCUUUUGAUGCCAUUUAUUGCUCUAAACAUGCCUUCAUAAAGAUAACCCAAUGAAGGCCUUUCAUCAGUGUCACAAAUACGCAAUAAACGAAUGAUAGGACCCAUUAUUCUCACCAUAAUCAAACAGUUAUUCCAAAACCUUUCAUCCAAAACGAUUUGCUUCACAUCUUUUCCUUUUUCUAUUCUCAGAAAUUGUUUGUAAUCCCCACUAGUAACCAAAGAUUGCAAACUAUCCUUAUGAUCAUGCAAACUUUUUAAUGCAAUAAAGGUAGUUGCAAAUCGAGUUUCACCUGGACGAAUAAUUUCUUUCCACCCUGUAGUCUUUCUUAACCAAUUCAAAGUGAACUUAUGAUUGUAAAUAAAAACAGUCACCGUUGAAACAAGAGACACUAUAGCUUUUACAUCAUUCAUUUCACCAAUGUCUUUCAAAAUCAAAUUGAUGCAGUGUGCAGUACACGGUGACCAACAAAUAUUCGGAUAUCUUUCACUUAACAAAGACCCAGCAACUUUAUAAUUGCUAGCAUUAUCAGUAACUAAGUGCACAACAUUAUUUGAACCAACCAUCUCAACAAUUUCAGCAAAUAAAUUGCACAAAUUUUCUGCACUUGUUACAAUAUCAUAUGCAUCCACAGAUUUAAUGAACGAAAUACCCUUAGGACAAUAAACCAAAAAAUUAAUCAAUGGUCUUUGUCUAGUGUCUUUUCAUCCAUCACCCAUUAUAGUGCAACCAGUUUCUGUCCAAGUACUUCUAAAAGAAUCAACAACCAAUUUCACAUCUCUCUUGGCAUUUCGCAACAAAUUAACUCUCAAAGAAUGAUAGGAUGGACUUUUGUAACCAUGACCCAUUGAUGCUAUUUGAUCAAUAGUUUUUUGAAAAAAUGGAGAAUUAACAGCAUUUAUAGGAAUGCAAGUAUCAUAAAACCAAAGAGCAAUAGCCAUGUCCGUAUUUUUCCAUUUUUCCUUACUUUGCAAACAAGCUUUAAUGGUUGGUUGAGAAGUAUCACAUCCACCUUUAAAAAAAGCACGAAUACCUGUUGAUGCAGUGACCUUUCUCUUUUCUUUACUAGAUGAACCCAUCUUAUUUGCUAAAGAAGAAUGAAUCUCCAAAACUUCAUCGCCAUCAAAUGAAUGAGUAGUGUGGCCGAAUGGAUUUUCCACCCCAAAAUCACCUUUUUUUUUCUUUAGAUUUCUGCUCCUUCUCCUUCAUAGAUGCUAAAAUAGCAUGUCUAACUGCCGGGUCAACCUUUGAACAUGGAACAAUGCUGCCUUGUUCUCCUGCCAAAUGUUGUUUCAUUCGAUGAAUGCCACCACCAGCAAUUACUUUAAAACAAUACCCGCAUGUCAAAGUUCUUCUUCCUUGACUAUUCACACCUACUGAACAAUAUUUCCAUGCUAUAUCAGACUUUUGUCUAUGAUUUUGACUAGCUGAUUGUUCACUAUUGACAGCUCCAGUAGUCGAAGAUUGUGAAUUACUACCCGUAUCAGUACCAGUAUCCAUUAUCCUUCACAUAGUUAAUUCAAACACAUAAUUAGUUCAUUUGUAAAAUAUAGUGUACUAAUAAGAAAAUAAAAUUAACAAAUUUUCAGUAAUAUAAGAAGAUCAAUUAGUCACAUGAAUAGCUCAACUGUUAGCAUUUAAUUUUUUCAUUUACAAAAAAAAAAGAUAUAGUUAUCACAGUAGAGGGAUUUUAAUGGUUCUUAGUAGCACAAAACUCAUGGCUAUUAAUGGUUCUUAGUAGCACAAAACUAGUUAAUUUAAACACAGGAAUCUUUCUUUUUGUUUUCCUAAGAAACAAAGAAAUAACAAGAAGGAUAUAUACUAAUAGUGAGACAAUUAUGUACCUAGUCAAUUUAUAUACAGCGUGUGUUAUACUGUUAUUGUCUAGGUAAUUUGAACAAACAAUAGAUAAAGGAAACAGAAAAGUUAGCAAAGACGUAAAUUGCUCAAACAAGUUACCAUAGGCAAUUUUUUUUGGGUUUGACAAUUAAAAUGAUUUCCACUAAUUCGUUAAAGAACACUGAUUCGAAGAAAAUGACUCCUAAAAAUAGUGAAUUUUUCUAUAUUCAACCGAAGAAGGAAAUCAACUGUAAAAAAUGCUAUCAUUUAUAAGUCAUAAACAAAUGCAGCUCUUACAAAAACUAAAAUGUUUCUUCUUGAAUAACAUGUCUCUGGAUACGUGGCAAUGGGUAAAAAAUGUCAUGAUUAUUUCAAAGUCAGACAUAUCUCUGUAUUUUCAAGAAAAUUAUUCGUUAAUUAAUAUGAAAUAUUAAUCCCAAAUUAUUAAUAAAUCUCUAUUUUUAUCCUCAAAUUAUAAUAAUUUUAAUUUUAGAAUCAACCCAAUCAAGUAGGGGUAAGGGCUAAAUUCUUGGUUGCUAUCAACAAUUUGUAGCAACAAAAAAUUUACACCCUCAAACUAUGAAUAAUUUGAUGAAACAAUUGAUCAAUAUAAGAAUAGUAAGAAGAAACAAUCGGCAUCACAGCAAUAAUCCAACAUACCUGUUCUAUGAAAAACAAUAAAAGGCAAAAAUUAAACUUACCAAGAUGGAAAAGCUCUGGAGUUUGGUCCACAGAAAAUAGCGUGAUGAUCUUGUCUUGAAUAUUUGGAUGUGAAAGGAUUAUGAAGAAAAAAUUUAAAAAAAAAUCAAGAUGAGAACUGGAGGAACCGAAAGGGAGAAACGGAGGAAGUGAAAUUGAAAUGAAAUGUGCCUGUGCCAUCUGCACUUUCUUAAUGCUAGGGUUUUUUUAUUUUAUUUGAUUUUAGUUUUUAGUUAAGUAAAAUUUCACGCAACAAUAGCUUGUCCUUCGGCUGUGGUUCAGUGGUUUACGUGCCUUAUUCUGGUCUUGGAGACCUAUGUUUGAAUCUCAACAACCUCCACUCUUGCUAUUAUUUUGAAUUUGAGGGAAAAUCUGAGAACCGCCGGUUCGCGGUUUAUGCGGGUUUUAACGGUUCGUAUGGUUCGGCCGGUUCAUAGCGGUUUUCCAUUACCUUCCGGGUUUGAUAUUAGACCGGACCGGUGACAUGGCCGGUUUGCGGUCGGACCGAUCGAACUGGCCGGUCCGGUCCGGUUCUGAAAACAUUGCUCCUAUGUGAUGAAGUGGUAAGUGUUCAUCCUGAAAGUAGUCCACCAUUCCGCCAUUAUUAAGGACAUGCAUUUUUGAAAUUCAUUCUAGUGUCAUACCGGCGUCUCUAACUUUAUAAAAGUGCAAAAGAAUGGUGGAUUCAUAGGUUACAAAAUAUGUAAGAAAAGGAAAUUACGAUUGAAUUAGAAAUUGAUUGUAACUUUCCGGUGCUUUCCUUUAAUCCAAAACAGAUGGAAUUGAACUUGCGGUUCAAUGGCCAUACAAGAAAGAAGGAUUAAUGGUGACAAUCAUAGUGACGAUCUUGAAAAAACUCCGGUAUUUUUUGUACCUCACAGUCAGUAGGAGGCUAUCAGUUGCAUCUCUUUUUUCAAAGAUUAUACCAUAGCUGUUAGAUUCCAAUAAAUAGUGGCGGUAUGCACGUUAUCUGCAAUGGCUACGUUGCGAGUUAUAAUGGCGUGGUAGUUCUGAUCAGCCAUAAAGUGGGUGACUGACCAAUUUUGAAAGUUGGCUCCAAACAGUAUCUACACUUCUGUGUGUAGCAGUGAUUUCAAGCCCAAGUAGUGUGCCACAAAUUCAUCUUUUCCCACAAAUCAGGCAUUGUAAGUCAUAAUACAAAAUAUUUAAGGUUGUGCAUAAUCGAAAGUGGCCGACUGCACCAUUUCGUCAAUGACCGGAAGACUUCCUUGUUGGCAAUGUGGUUGCGAACAAGAAUGCAAGAGACCAACAUGAUUUGCGAAAACUCUUGUCCGAAAAACCUAUCCAACCUCACAAGUUCUUCCUUAACAAUCCACUUCACUCCUAUGUGGUAAAAUGGUAAGUGCUUAUUUUAAAAGUAACCCACCAUUCCGCUAUUAUUGAGGACAUGUAUUUGUGAAAUUCGUCGUAGCACCAUGCCGGCGUCUGCUUGCUUUAUAAAAGUGCAAGAAGAGGGUUUGUUUCAUGAGUUACAAAAUGCAGAAGAAAAAGAAGUUGCGAUUGAAUUAGAAGUUGAUUGUAACUUUCAGAUAUUUUCCUUUAAUCCCAAACAGAUAGAACUGAACUUGUGGUUCAAAGGUCAUGCAAGAGAGAAGGAUUAAUGGUGGCAAUCAUGAUAGGGAUCUUGAGAAAACUUCGGUAUUUUUGCACCUCACAGUCAGCAGGAAGCUAUCAAUUGCAUCUCUUUCUUCAAAAGUUAUAUCCAUAGCGAUUGGAUUCCAGCAAAUAGUGGCGGUAUGCACGUUGUCUACAAUGGCUACGUUGCGGGUCAUAAUAGCGUGGUAACCCUAAUCAGCCAUAAAGCGGGUGACUGACCAAUUUUCAAAAUUGGUUUCGAACAGUAUCCAUACGUCGGUGUGCAGCAGCAGUUUCUAGCCUAUGUAGUGUGUCAUAAAUUCAUCAUUCCCCACAAUUCAGAUAUUGUAAAUCAUAAUAUAAAACGUCUUAAGGUUGUGCAUAAUCGGGAGUGGUCAAAUGCGCCAUUUCACCAAUGAGCAGAAGACUUCUUUCUUGGCAAUGGGAUUGCGAAUGGGGAUACAAGUGACCAACAUGGUUUGCGAAAACUUUUAUCCGAAAAAUCUAUCCAACCUUAUAAGUUCUACCUCAACAAUUCACUUCAAUCCUAAGUGGUGAAGUGGUAAAGUGUUUAUCUUGAAACUAACCCACCAUUCCACCAUUAUUGAGGAAAUGCAUUUUUGAAAUUCGUCCUAAUGCCAUGUCGGUGUCUUUAGCUUUAUAAAAGUGCAAGAGGAUGGUUUGCUUCAUGAGUUAGAAAAUAUGCAAGGAAAGGAAGCGGUUGAAUUAGAAAUUGAUUGUAACUUUCAGAUGUUUUUCUUUAAUCCCAAACAGAUGGAAUUGAUCAUACGGUUCAAUGGUCAUGCAAAAGAGAACGAUUAAUAGUGGCGAUCAUGGUGGCGGUCUUGAAAAAGCACCAGCAUUUUUUGCGCCUCACAAUUAGCAGGAGGCUACCAGUUGCAUCUCUUUCUUCAAAGGUUAUAUCUACAACUGUUGGAUUCCAGCAAAUAGUGGCAGUAUGCAAGUUGUCUGCAAUGGCUACGUUACGAGUCAUAAUGGCGGGUUAGCCCUGAUCAGCCACAAGAUGGGUGACUGACCAAUCUUCAAAAUUGACUCCGAACAGUAUCACACGUUGAUGUGCAGCAGCGGUUUCAAACCCAAGUAGUGUGUCACAAAUUGAUCCUUCUCCACAAAUCAGGUAUUGUAAAUCAAAAUAUAAAAUUCGUUAAUCUUGUAUAUAAUCGGGAGUGGUCGACGGCGCUACUUCACCAAUGAGCGGAAAACCUCCUUGUUGGCAAUGAGGUUGCGAACGGGAAUGCAAGAGAUCAAUAUGGUUUGCGAAAACUCUUGUCCGAGAAACCUAUCUAACCUCACAAGUUCUUCCUCAACAAUUCACUUCACUCCUAUGUAGUGAAUUGGUAAGUACUCAUCCUGAAAGUAACCCACCAUUCUAGCAUUAUUGAGAACAUGCAUUUCUGAAACUCAUCCUAGUACCAUGCCGGCGUCUGCUUGCUUUAUAAAAGUGCAAGAGGAGAGUUUGAUUCAUGAUUACAAAAUAUACAAGAAAAGGAAGUUGCGGUUGAGUUAAAAGUUGACUGUAGUUUUCAGGUGCUUUCCUUUAAUUCUAAGCAGAUGGAACUGAACUUGUGAUUCAAAAGCCAUGCAAAAUAGAAGAAUGAAUGGUGGCAGCCAUAAUGGGGAUCUUGAGAAAGCUCCGGUAUUUUUUGCGCCUCACAGUCAGCAGGAGGCUAUCAGUUGCGUCUCUUUCUUCAAAAAUUAUAUCUACAACUGUUGGAUUCCAGCAAAUUGUGGCAGUAUGCACGUUGUCUGCAAUGGCUACGUUGCGGGUCAUAGUGGCGUGGUAAUCCUGAUAAGCCAUAAAGCGGGUAACUGACAUAUCUUUAAAUUUGUCUCCGAACAGUAUCCACACGUCGGUGUGCAGCAGCGAUUUUAGGCAUAUGUAGUGUGUCACAAAUUCAUCCUUUCCCACAAUUUAGGUAUUAUAAGCUAUAAUAUAAAAUAUCUUAAGGUUAUGCAUAAUCGGAGUAGCCGAAAGUGCCAUUUUACCAAUGGCCGAAAGAUUUUUUUGUUGGUAAUGUGAUUGCGAAUGGGGAUGCAGGUGACCAACAUGGUUUGUGGAAACUCUUGUCCGAAAAAUUUAUCAAAUCUUACAAGUUCUACCUCAACAAUCCACUUCAAUCCUAAGUGGUGAAGUGGUAAAUGCUUAUUUUGAAACUAAUCCGCCAUUCCGUCAUUAUUAAGGACAUGCAUUUUUGAAAUUCGUCCUAAUGCCAUGUCGAUGUCUCUGAUUUUAUAAAAGUUCAAGAGAAUAGUUUGCUUCAUAAGUUACAAAAUAUGCAAGAAAAGGAAAUGGUUGAAUUAGAAGUUGAUUGUACCUUUCAGGUGUUUUCCUUUAAUCCCAAACAGAUGGAAUUUAUCGUACGAUUCAAUGGCCAUGCAAGAAAAAAUGAUUAAUGGUGGCAACCAUGGUGACGGUCUUGAAAAAGUAUCGGUAUUUUUUGCGCCUCACAGUAAGCAUGAGGCUAUCAUUUGCAUUUCUUUCUUUGAAAGUUAUAUCUACAGAUGUUAGAUUCCAACUAAUAGUGGUGGCAUGCACGUUGUCUGCAAUGACUACGUUACGAAUCAUAAGAGUGUGGUAACCCUAAUCAGCCAUAAAGCGAGUGAUUGACAAAUUUUGAAAGUUGGCUCAAAAUAGUAUCCACACGUCGGUGUGCAGCAGUGGUUUCAGGCCCAGAUAGUGUGCCGCAAAUUCAUCCUUCCCCACAAAUCAGGCAUUGUAAGUCAUAAUACAAAAUGUCUUAAAAUUGUGCAUAAUCGAGAGUGGCCGACGGUGCUAUUUCACCAAUCAACGAAAAACUUCCUUGUUGGCAAUGGGGUUACGGAACAGAGAUGCAAGAGACCAAUAUAGUUUGCGAAAACUCUUGUCCGAGAGACCUAUCCAAUCUCACAAGUUUUUCUUCAACAAUCCACUUCGUUCCUAUGUGGUGAAGUGGUAAGUGAUAAUUCUAAAAGUUACCCACCAUUUCAGCAUUAUUAAGAGCAUGUAUUUCUGAAACUCGUCCUAGCACCAUGCCGGCGUCUGCUUACUUUAUAAAAGUGCAAGAGGAGGGUUUGAUUCAUGAGUUACAAAAUACACAAGGAAAGGAAGUUGUGGUUGAGUUAGAAGUUGAUUAUACCUUUCAGGUGCUUUCCUUUAAUCCCAAGCAGAUGGAACUGAACUUGUGGUUCAAAGGCCAUAUAAGAGAGAAGGAUUAAUGGCGGCAACCAUGAUGGGGAUCUUGAGAAAGUUUCGGUAUUUUUUGUGCCUCACAGUUGGUAUGAGGCUAUCAGUUACAUCUUUUUCUUCAAAAGUUAUAUCUACAGCUGUUGGAUUCCAGCAAAUAGUGGCGAUAUGCACGUUGUCUGCAAUGGUUACGUUGCGGGUCAUAGUGGCAUGGUAAUUCUGAUAAGUCAUAAAGCGGGUGACUAACCUAUCUUCAAAGUUGUCUCCGAACAGCAUCCACACGUCAGUGUGCAGCAGCGGUUUCAGGCAUAUGUAAUGUGUCACAAAUUCACCCUUUUCCAGAAUUCAAGCAUUGUAAGUCAUAAUAUAAAAUGUCUUAAGGUUGUGCAUAAUCGGGAGUGGUCGAAAGCGCCAUUUCACCAUUGGUCGGAAGACUUUCUUAUUGGCAAUGUGAUUGCGAAUGGGGAUGCAAGUGACCAACAUGGUUUGCGGAAACUCUUGUCCGAAAAACCUAUCCAACCCACAAGUUCUUCCUCAACAAUUCACUUCACUCCUAUGUAGUGAAUUGGUAAGUACUCAUCCUGAAAGUAACCCACCAUUCCGCCAUUAUUGAAAAUAUGUAUUUCUGAAAUUCGUUCUAGUGUCAUGCCGGCGUCUGCUUGCUUUAUAAAAGUGCACGAGGAGGGUUUGUUUUAAGGGUUACAAAAUACACAAGUAAAGGAAGUUGCGAUUGUAUUAGAAGUUGAUUGUAGCUUUCAGAUGUUUUCCUUUAAUCCCAAACAGAUGAAAUUGAUCGUACGGUUCAAUAGCCAUGCAAGAGAGAACGAUUAAUGGUGGAAACCAUGGUGGUGGUCUUGAGAAAGCUCCGGUAUUUUUUGGCCUCACAGUCAGCAGGAGGCUAUCAAUUACAUCUCUUUCUUCAAAAAUUAUUUCCACAACUAUUGAAUUCCAGCAAAUAGUGGCACUAUGCAUAUUAUCUUCAAUGGCUACGUUGCAAGUCAUAAUGGCGUGGUAGCCGUGAUCAACCAUAAAGCGGGUAACUGACCAAUUUUCAAAAUUGGCUCUGAAUAGUAUCCACAAAUCAGACAUUGUAUGUCAUAAUAUAAAAUGCCUUAAAAUUGUACAUAAUCGGGAGUGGCCGACGGCGUCACUUUAUCAAUGAUUGGAAGAUUUCUUUGUUGACAAUAAGGUUACGAACGGGGAUACAAGAGACCAACAUGAUUUGCGAAAAUUCUUAUCCGAAAAACCUAUUCAACUUCAUAAGUUCUUCCUCAACAACCCACUUCACUCCUAUGUGGUGAAUUAGUAAGUGCUCAUCCUGAAAGUAGCCUACCAUUCCGCUAUUAUUGAGAACAUGCAUUUCUGAAAUUCGUCCUAAUUCCAUGCGGGCGUCUGCUUGAUUUAUAAAAGUACAAGAGAAUGGUUUGUUUCAUGAGUUACAAAAUACACAAGGAAAUGAAGUUGCGAUUAGAAGUUGAUUAUAGUUUUCAGGUGCUUUUCUUUAAUUCCAACCAGAUGGAAUUAAACGUGCGGUUCAAUGACCAUGCAAGAGAGUAUAAUUAAUAAUUACAACCAUAAUGGUGAUCUUGAGAAAGUUUUUUUGUGCCUCACAGUCAGCAGGAGGCUAUCAGUUGCAUUUCUUUCUUCAAAGGCUAUAUCCACAACUGUUGGAUUCCAACAAAUAUUGGCAGUAUGCGCAUUGUUUGCAAUGGCUACGUUGCGAGUUAUAGUGGCGUCGUAACCCUGAUCAGCCAUAAAGCGGUGACUGACCAAUUUUUAAAGUUGGUUCCGAAUAGUAUCCACACGUCGGUGUGCAGUAGCAGUUUCAGAUACAGGUAAUGUGUUACAAAUUUAUCUUUCCCCGUAAAUCAGACAUUGUAAGUCAUAAUAUAAAAUGUCUUAAGGUUGUGCAUAAUCGGGAGUGACUGACGGCCCACUUCAUCAAUAACCGGAAGAUUUUCUCGUUGGCAAUGGGGUUGCGAAUGGGGAUACAAGAGAUCAACAUGAUUUGUAACAACUCUUGUCCAAAAAACCAAUCCAACCUCACAAGUUUUUCCUCAACAAUCCACUUCACUCCUAUGUGGUGAAGUGGUAAAUGUUCAUCCUGAAAGUAACCCACCAUUCCGCUAUUAUUGAGGACAUAAAUUUUUGAAAUUCGUUCUAAUGCCAUGCCGGCGUCUGUAGCUUUAUAAAAGUACAAAAGAAUGGUUUGAUUCAUGUGUUACAAAAUACGCAAGGAAAGGAAGUUGCGGUUGAAUUAGAAGUUGAUUGUAACUUUUCGAUGCUUUCCUUUAAUCCAAAGCAGAUGGAAUUGAACGUACGGUUCAAUGGCCAUGCAAGAGAGAAGGAUUAAUGGUGGCAACCAUGGUGGCGACCUUAAGAAAGUUUCGAUAUUUUUACGUCUCACAGUCAGCAAGAGGCUAUCAGUUGCAUCUCUUUCUUCAAAUGUUAUCUCCACAACUGUUGGAUUUCAGCAAAUAGUGACGGUAUGCACGUUGUCUACAAUGGCUAUGUUGUGGGUCAUAGUGGCGGAGUAGCCCUGAUCAGUCAUAAAGCAGGUGACUGGCCAAUUUUCAAAGUUGGCUCCGAACAGUAUCCACACGUCGGUGUGUAGCAGCGGUUUCAGAUCAAAGUAGUAUGCCACAAAUUCAUCCGUCCCCACAAAUCAAGCAUUGUAAGUCAUAAUACAAAAUGUUUUAAAGUUGUGCAUAAUCGGAAGUGGGCCGACGGCGCCAUUUCGUCAAUGGCCGGAAGACUUCCUUAUUGGCAAUGGGGUUGCAAACGGGGAUGCAAGAGACCAACCUGCUUGCGAAAACUCUUGUCCGAAAAACCUAUCCAAACUCACAAGUUCUUCCUCAACAAUCCACUUCGCUCCUAUGUGGUGAAGUGGUAAGUGCUCAUCUUGAAAGUAACCCACCAUUCCUCCAUUAUCGAGGACAUGAAUUUGUGAAAUUCGUCGUAGCACCAUGCCGGCAUCUGCUUGCAUUAUAAAGUGCAAGAGGAGGGUUUGCUUCAUGAGUUACAAAAUACACAAGAAAAUGAAGUUUGCGAUUGAGUUAGAAGUUGAUUUUAGCUUUCGAGUGCUUUCUUUUAAUCCCAAGCAGAUGGAACUGAACUUGUGGUUCAAUGACCAUGCAAGAGAGAAGGAUUAAUGGUGGCAACCAUGAUGGGAUCUUGAGAAAACUCUGGUAUUUUUUGCGCCUCACAGUCAGCAGGAGACUAUCAGUUACAUCUCUUUUUUCAAAGGUUAUAUUCACAGCUGUUAGAUUCCAGUAAAUAGUGGCGGUAUGCACGUUGUCUGCAAUGGCUACGUGGCGGGUCAUAGUCGCGUGGUAAUCCUGAUAAGCCAUAAAGCGGGUGACUGACCUAUUUUCAAAAUUAGCUCCGAACAGUAUCUACACAUCGGUGUGCAGCAGCGGUUUCAAGCCUAAGUAGUGUGUAACAAAUUCCUUAUUCCCCACAAUUCAGGCAUUGUAAGCCAUAAUACAAAAUGCCUUAAGGUUGUAUAUAAUCGGGAGUGGUCGAAGGUGCCAUUUCACCAAUGUCCGGAAGACUUCCUUGUUGGCAAUAGGGUUGCGAAUGGGAAUGCAAGUGACCAACAUGAUUUGCGAAAACUCUUGUCUGAGAAACCUAUCCAACCUCACAAGUACUUCCUUAACAAUUCACUACACUACUAUGUGGUGAAGUGAUAAGCGCUCAUCCUGAAAGUAGCCCACUAUUUCGCUAUUAUUGAGAACAUGCAUUUCAGGAAUUCAUCCUAGUGCCAUGCUGACAUCUGCUAGCUGUAUAAAAGUGCAAGAGGAGGGUUUGAUUCAUGGGUUACAAAAUACACAAGAAAAGAAAGUUGCGGUUGAAUUAGAAAUUGAUUGUAACUUUCAGGUGCUUACCUUUAAUGCCAAACAGAUGGAAUUAAACGUGCGGUUUAAUGGUCAUGCAAGAGAAAAUGUGCUUGUGUGAAGUUCUUAUAGGAGAGAAUACAGUGCAUAGAUAUGAAAAUAUUUGCGACGACGGUCGAAGGAUUGAGUCAGAUGCUGUUGGGCUAAAUUUACUGUGGUUAAGAAACUCAAUGAUAUAGUCUGUGUAACAUAGGUUAAUGGGAAAAUGGGUCAUAAUUGGUGGGUGUUCCGAUAAUUCCAAAUUUGACGCUAGUGAUUUUUGUUGAAGAAGAUGCACUUCAUCUUAAAAAACGUCACUUGUACUUGUCUAUUCAGUCGGACAAUACUUCCACAAGUCAUGAACGGUGUUGCUUGGCUGUUGGCUCACCUGUCUAUGUGAUUUUCAAUGAGAUAAGAUUUGCACGUUGCAUAGAGCAAAUUGUCAUGGCCCUUGCCCCGUACUGCCGCAUCUACAAUAAUGCAUCUUUAAAUCCCUGCAAUAUUCUGUAUCAUUCAAUCGUUUUUCAUAAAUCUCAGAGUUCAAUUGGUUACCAUAGGCAGCAAUGCCACUGCUGAAUCAGUUUCUCAAACGAAGGACCUAACUGUACCGAGAUUGCUUUGGAUGGGCCCAUGAAAAGAUUUUACUGUCUUGGAGAGAGGGUUAUUAGGCAGGUUUAUGCAGGUGUAUCUGCAAAACAACCUCCUCGGCGCCCACCAGAUAUGUACAGCACUGAUACAAUUUUAGAAAAAAACUAUAUGAUUUACUUAAUGGACUGCCCAUUGCAAGCUUAUACCCGGAAGCCCCUCCAUUACCUACUUAUGAGGAUUUUGUGCGCACCAGUUAAUGAAACCACUAACUUCGGUCUUCUGGUCAUCCAAUGCCAAAAACUGCGUGAAUCAUAUAUCUAACCAGUUGCCACUUAGUCAUAGUGGAACAGCCUCACAGCAGCGUCCAAUUAAUUACCCUCCUUGGUCUGUAAUAUGCAUACAAAUUGAUAGAUCACUGAAAGAAGAGGGCAUUCACAAAGUAGAAAGCAAUGUAAUAGGGUUAUCUCUUCCUCAUAGUGUUGGUGAUGUGGUAUGCCCUUCUUGCCCAAAUACAUUACCCGCCAUUAAUUUUGAACAAAGCUAUCUAAUCAUACUGCUAUAUUUGUUUUUUUCACUUAAGUGCCUAGAGAAUGGUACGACCUGCUUGUACAGUGCAUGAGACUGAGAAAAAAAGUUAUAGAAAAAAAUGCAGAAAUAUUUCGAUAAACAUCGAUUGUAUCACACAACACACAAGUGGUGGAGCAAAUGCUAGAAUAACUACAACUCAUUUUUCAAAGUGCAUUGAAGGUGGUUCGGAGAAAGGGAAAACACUGUCAUGGCAUUGGAAUAGGUAGCCGGAAAACCUUCGGAUGUAAGUGGCAAAACACAAAUUUCGGGACUUAGACAUUAUCAGAUGGGGACGUGGCAAAACUUAUGAUCUCAAAUUAUUGAUAGGUUGUCAAAUGGCCGACGCCGCCAAAUUCCUAAACUUCGUGUUACUCCGACGUACGAAUGAGAAUUCGAGCAACUCAUUGGCCCAAUCAAACCCCAAAAAUCUGCUCAUGUGUGAUGUUGUAUAGAAGUAUUUAUUUCAUUUUUCCAACUAUUAUUACAGCUUAUUGACAGAUAAUUUAUAACUUUGAAAUGUUUUAUUCCCAAGUGCAUUUGGAGUCACCAUUUGAGUGGGUUAUAAAUAAUAAUGUUCACAGCAUUAGCUUCAAGGAAAAGCCCUUCAGUUCUCUUAUUGGUGUAGUCAUAUAUUAUGUUGUAUAUCCACCAACAGUAAAAAUUGUUUCUGUUUAUCGUUGCAUUUGGGGUCAAACAAAAUCAUCCCUAUAGUAGUACUCUAUUUGGUAGUCAAGUGGCAUCCAACUUCAUUUAUGUUUUACAGUGCCAUACAAAACUUGCAUUACAUAUGACUACGACUUUUGGUAUUCACUUGAAGUUCAAAAUUCAGUGGCUUCUCCAAUUUUGUCAAGAACCACCGCUACUAUUUGACCAAAAGAGGGAAUCGUGUACUGUACCAUGAUGUUCACCUUCAUCCACAGUCACUUGUUCCUCAACCCAAAUUUCAGAGACCUUGUUUAAAGUGCACAAUCCAGCUUGAAACUCCUAUGCAUAUUCGCUUUGCGUAUAAUUUGAUCACGGAUAACGUUGGCAUCAUCCAGAACCAAACACAGUGCUAAUUUGCGACUCUCAAAUUCCGAAUUGUACUGCACCGAUUCAUUAUAGUUACUAUCUUCAUCAUUGGCCACCAAAGACAAUGAUUAUUAAAGCACAGGAAGCCAUUUUUUUUCCUUACCUAUUUUCAUUUCCAGCUCCCAAUUCCAGUUAAUAGCAUGUCCAUGUACUUUAGCAUAAAUAACUCACAAUCCCACCUGCAUUACAAACCAUAACCACAAAUUUAGACACAACCCUUGAUGAUGUAAAAACCCGCCAACCUAUAUCUAUUGAACUUACGCAUUUCGUUGCUGUGGACAUGCGGCUGCAACUUUUAUUUUGUUCAACCAAAGGCAUGACGAAUCCUGUUCUUUCAAAUCGUAAGUCAACGCUGCAUCCAACCUUUCAAUCUGAGCCGCAAGAGUAGUUAAACAUAUACAAAUUCAAGUUUACUGGCACCAAUUAAAAGGUGAUGGUCGUGUUCAUGAAAUGUUUGACAAACCAAAUAUUUGUUAUCCAAGUUGGCAUGAACCACUAUCGAAUUGACUCCUCUAUUGCACGCCUUUGCUGCCUUGCUAUUUUCAUUGCACAAUAGCAAUUUAUUAUUUGCACCAAACACACGUUAAAUCACAUCAUUAUGCAAGUAACACUCCACAAAAUACCACCCAAUUUUAAACCCACAAUUUACUUACAUCACAUGCCAUGGCUUUUUCGGGAAGCAAUGACUCCAUUGCAUUUCUAGUUGCUAUCUGCCCCUUAAUUGACGCCAAUACCUCCCUAUCAUUAUACAGUUACAUUAAACUUUUCAUUAUGCGCAUUAAGUUUUCAUAAUUUACAAAUUUGAUAUCAUCAUUUUCAAUGAUUUAAGUAAACACGUCAAUUUAAAUUCACUCUUCCUCAUUAAUGCAGUCAUGAAUUACGUUGAACUUCCUUAUGUAGUGCUCAAUGACCAUAAGGGUCAUGUGCGAAAAACAUAAGUCGGUUAAGUACUAUUAUAGUUUAUUAUCAUUCUAAUUCUAUGGUCAAUGUAUUAAAUACUCACCUUAUAUUGUAUAUGCAAGCAUCUUACCUACACUUGCUAUUUAUAUAUGGAAGCAUGAUUAACAGCAACACAAAUUAUAAAUUUGCCGCAUACUUGUAAACCAAAUUUAACUGCUUCCAAAAUUUUCGUUCCCAUGCCUCCUCCUCUGUGGGGAUAAUCAUAUUACCUAUUUAUUCAAACUUAUAAUUGCAACUACUUUUGCUUGCCCUUUGUUAUUGCAAUUUCAAAUAAAAGAUCAAACAAAAUGCAACUAACACUUUACCAAAUCCAUGAUCCAAACCACACCCUUGCGAGAGUUGAAUGUCAAACAAGAAUUUCAAUAUUUUUGCUCGUCCUUCACUCAAUUUUCUGCUGACAGAUGCCAGCCUAGUUUCCUACUACCACAAAAAUAUGUUAGCUUUCUUAGUUUACAGUUCUUUCCUUUAGUAAUUAUGAAAUGUUGGAAUACUCACCCUUGCCAAUAAAACAACCAUCUUCGUUUGACACUCAUUUAUCCCACUACUAUCCAUUUGUACAUAAAAAUUAUAUUUACAUUUUACUUUUGUAAUACUACGAAAUACCUUCGCAAUUACUCUCAUGACUUUAUUUUUUUACCUUGCCUUCUGUUUUGUUUGCCUUUCCACAGAGGCCUCUCCGUAUUGUCCAUCCUUAGUCUCUUUCUGUAUCUCCACUUUGUAAUUUUCGAUGCAGUCUUUUCACCCAUUAUUGUAGUAUUCCUAGUUACUCUAGCAUUUUCACUCCUAUUUUUGGACCUAACAUCUAGCGUUUUAGGACUAAAUUUAUGUACUUCACUGCCUCUUCUAAUAUUACCACGCCAAUCAUCCUUCUGCCCACCCUCCACAGCAAGUGACCGGUGUUUUUUGCACAGAUUUCCACUUUCAUACAUGCUCCUUAGUGUUUCAAAACGAGAUUCAAUCAUUGCUUCUAUUCUACCAAUACUGUCCUUCACAUCUUUAUUACCACAUUCAAUUUCAAUCAGUCUUUUAUCAAUGUCUUCUCUACGAUUUACUUAUUGUAAACUUGCACAUUGUCCUGUCAAUAUAACCCUUCAGUUUUCUACAACUAGUAACGUCACAAAAUACAAUUGCAAUUUCAACUAUAGUUCACACAAGAGCAUUUUACAUUACUUGUUCCCCCUCAAAUAUGCAAUUCCUCUUCAAUAUGCGAUUCCUCCUCAAUAUUUUCAUUAAUCUCAUACCUUCCCCAAAAUCUUAUCCUCGGCCCUCUCGGGUGGAACUUGUGAAACUCGUCCUCACCUUCAAAAAAGAAUCGUUCCAGAUAGUAAAUCUGCAUGGACAAAAAAUUCAUUAAUUAUUUACAGGUCCUUUAUAUCAAAGUUAAAUUUAAUUAUUCUAGCAAUUUCUAGCGCUAUUAUAAAAGAUGCAUCUUCAUAUACCAUCAAGAAAAGUGCACAUCCCGCUAUUCUGUUGCCAUUUCUUUCACGGAUGCUCUUCACCAAAUUGUCUAGUAUGAAUUUUGACUAGUUCAAAUUUUUCAUAUUCUCUUCUUUGCCCACUACAGCCACAAGAUCCCUGCUCACUGUGUCAUCCAAAGUUGGUGCUAACACCUCACCAACAACAAAUAGUACGAACUUCACUUUGAAUUCUAAGCCUUCGUUAUGCAAACUACAUAGACUGUCCCUCAAUUCCUCCACUAUAAUUUUUCCACAAUUUAAUUCAAUUCUCUUUCCAACUCUGUAUCCAUCUCUUGCUUUCGCUUUUCGCUUUCAAUAUCUUUCCCACGGUUGUUCAAGCCAAAUACACAUUCCACAUCCUCGGUCGUGACGUGUAGACAGUACCCAUGAACAUUCAGUGACCUCCGAUCUACAUCAAAGUUAUCCACCAGUCAGUUGAACAUCUCUUUAUCAACCUCAACUCCCUUCACAUUCAGAAUUGACCCGAACCCAAACUCUUUAAUAGCCUGCCGUUGCUCAUCCAAAAGGCAGUCCAUCAUAUUCUUCACUGGAUGAGUUGAUUUCCUUACCAUUCUUUCCGCUAUCCGCUGAAGCGGCUUUCUUUCACUGCUGCAACUAUAACGAUUCGUUGCUAUUUCACUUUUAUGCAUCAGCGAGAGCCGAUUUUCGCUUUCUCCUUCACUAGCCCACUGCAUAUCCAAAGCAUCUAUUUCGGCUGCCAACUCCAUAACACAUACCUUUUGCUAUUCUUCAUGGUAAUUCCUGUCCGAUUUCGCGCUUCUUCAUUUGAUAUGCCUACAGUGUUUAGCUUCUCCGCCAAGCUUUCGCGCCUUUUCACUUCUCUUGCUUUCGCUCACGACCCUCUCACUUUGGUAGUUGAUUAUUUUAGGCACUCCACCUUUCUCAUUUACGCUUUGGAAUCCCCUCAACUUUUCGUAUCGCCUUUCCGCUCAACUUCAACACUAAACGGCUCUUCAAGUUCCAGGUCAUAAAACACUUUUACACGUGCCCAUCCAAGACAUUUUCCUUACCGUCUGUGACCACAAUCACUUAUUCCUUCUGUUCUCCCACCUUUUCACACCUUUUCUUUGACCAAUAAACAUAUCACAGCAACAUCCAAAUGGCAAUUGCAGGAAAAGAUUUGGAUCCUCUGCCAUUGCAGGGCAAUUGAUUGAUGGGACAGUCAAGACCUGGCCAUCCGAUCACACAUUGCACCUACAACCACAGAGGAUCCAAAUCCAAAGAAUAGGGCACACAUAUCAAAGUCAAACUGUGUUUAAAAGGAUAAUUUCAAAAAGUCCCCUGAGAUUUCCAAUAAUUUCACUGAGCUGCUCUAAAAUUUGAAAAAUUAUACAUUCCUCCCUUGAUUUAAUAGUUUUAGUAACAAAAUCUUAAAAUAAUAUUGAAUUAGUCAAAUUUUUAAAUGAAUAUCAAAAAAUGCAAUUGUGUAAUGAGUUUUAAUUUAUUUUCCUAUAUAAUUAUAAGAUUAUCUCAUAUAAUUAUAAGAAAAAUAUGUCAAAUUUUUCAUAUCCAUACCUACUAUUUAAUAAAUAACUAUAAUAAUAAUUUUAUUACUAUGAUAGGAUACUUUUAAUGGUAUUUUAUUAUAAAUUUAGAUUUAUAAAAUAGAAAAGAAAAUGUUGAAGUAGUUCAUUUAGAGUUUCUUAAUUUUUCGAGUAAUGGGAUUAUCAUAAUUUAGUUGUAAUUUUGGGCCACUUCUUUUUGAUUUAUUUUUAAUUUUGACACCAACAAUUGAAAACAAAGAUCAGUAAAAAUAUUGGAUUACAUAUAAAAUUAACUCAUAAAAAAAAUCACUAAUUGGACAUUUGAUUAUAAUAGAAACUAGAAACAAUAGUGAUAGUUCUACAGUUUUAAUAAUGAAAAAUUUAAAAAAAAGGAAUAAGAAGGAACAAGAAUGAAAAACUAAUUUUAAAACUCAUUAUAAGUAUAAGCAUACCAAAUAAGGGAAUUUCAUUAAAAUAUUUAAGGAUAAAAUUGUCAUUUUAAAUGAUAAGAGAGAAAUGUAUAAUUUUUUAAAUCUCAAGGAAGCUCAGUAAAUUGUUAGAAAUCUUAAGGGAGGUUUCUGAAAUUAUCCUGUGUUUAAUUGCCCAUCAUAUGACAUCUCCUCCAUUACAACAAAUGAUUUUUGCUUGAAAUUUUGGUGUUUGGCUAGUAAAUAAAUCCACUCCAUCAUCAUUCACUGCAGCAUACAUAAAUAUACAACAAUAGAGUUAGCACAAUGCACCAAAUUUUUAAUUGUCAAUAUCCGUCAAGCCACACAUGGAUCCAAUCCCAUGAUGCCUGAAUUGCCAAGACUUUCUUUGUAAAUUGCAAUGGCGGGGGGAUUGUAAAUCAUUGAUUUGUUGGCUAUAGGUAGAAUAUCUUGUCCCAAUAUAAUUGAAUUAGUACGGGGACGAGAGUAUAAAUGAGAAGUCUCGUAUUUGAGAUUCGAGACUUUCUACUUAUACUGUAAUUUAAAAAAAAAAUCACGAUUCAGGUAAUUGAUCGGGAAAGCCAAUCUUGUCAAGUUCCAAUUGAUGUUGCUUUACAUCAUCCAACAAUUUUUCAUAUGUAUAUUCAAUAAAAUAAUACAAUUAUGUAAUUCUUUUUAGGAUAGGAACAUUAUAUACGAACAACCAGUAACAGAUGAUUUGUUUAAUAAAAUGGAAUUUCAGUUUAUGUGCAUAAAAAUGUUGGCUAAGCGUUUUCGUUUUCGGCCCAUUUCCCCUCUCUAUCAACUACCCGAAAUGCAUUCGACAUUCAAACACAUUGUGCAUUUAACCAAAUAUUCCAGUUUCGGCAAUAGCAUUUAUCAACUAAUGAUUGUCCUGUCACAUACAUAUUAGAGCCAAAACUACAAAUUUUAAAUAAAUUACAAUGCAUACAAGGAUACCAGUGACUUUAGUUCAAGAGUUUUACAGUUCUCUCUCUCCCCUCUCUAAGAAUUUCUUCAGUUUUUUCAUGGCUGCCCUUCAGCCGUCGGCUGAGGGGCAAGGAUCUCCUACAAAAAAAAAAAUCUUUCUCCCAACUUUUUUCACAACCUUCAACAUCUUUUAUUCCAAUUCGGCAAGCGACUGUCUACAAAGGUGAAGCUGCAGUCAUUUUCUCCAGAGCAGAUGCAGAAAAACUUGCGGAGCCGUUUCGAUGGUCUUUAGUUGGAAAAUUCUCUCAUGGGAGAUCUUCUUUAGAAGAUAUUCGCAAGUUUUUUGCUUCCUUAAAUCUAAAAGACCACAUUUUCAUUGGCUUGAUGGAUUACAGGCAUGUUCUGAUCAAGUGCUCCGCUGAAGCAGAUUUUAACAGGAUUUGGACGAGAGGGAUUUGGCAGUUAGGCAAAUUUCCAAUGCGUGUAUUUCGAUGGUCUCGGGAAUUUCAUGUGCUCAGAGAAUCCUCUCUGGUUCCAGUUUGGGUUGAACUUCCAAAUUUACCUAUCCAUUUUUUUGAUAAACAUUCGUUGUUUUCCAUAUUAUCUCCAGUAGGAAGACCAUUGUUUUUGGAUUCGGCAACGGCUGCUGGGACGCGUCCUAGUGUGGCAAGGGUAUGCGUGGAGAUCGAUGUAGCAAAGCCUGUUUUAUCGAGAAUCUGGGUGGCGGUUGAAGGAGAAACCGGCUUUUGGCAAAAAAUUGUACCAGAUGAUUUGCCAAGAUAUUGCUCAUCUUGCUGGAGAUUGGGUCAUUCUUCCGAAAACUGCAAGAAAAACUUCAUCGAUGGUGGGCAUCAACUCCAAAACAAUCAAGCCAAAAGGCUUAAGCAUGGCUCAAAGAUACCUGAAAAUACCCAGCAUAAAUUAGUCAUUACAAAUGUAUGUAAUGACUCAGAGGCUAAAGAUAAAUUAUCAAAAGAGGAUACAACAGCUCCUGAAGAAAUGCAAAUUUCUGGUGCGAAUGAAGCCGAAGGAAUUACAACAGCUGUAACAAAGGAAUCUGGGGGAACUGCUGACAAAUGCAAUACUGAAGCCAAAGGAAAAGCAUCAAUGGAAUUCAAGUCAGCUACUGAAAAGGCGCGACUUACGGGCGUAAUUGAAAUUGAAGGAACGUCAACACCUGCAAUGGAACAUUCUGGAGCACCGGAGCAAAACGAUGCAGUUGCCGACGGUUGCGCGCUCAAGGAGGGAAAAAACACAGCAGCUUCCAAAACUGAUGCACAUCCACAUUCGGUUGCUGAUGCCGCAAUGCAUGUCCAUAAGGAGCAUUCGGUAGUGGAAGACCAAUUGACAGCUUGCUAUGGAAAUGAUUGUGAGGGGCCACAAAGUCAAAGGAAUCAUAAUGUUGGAAUGGUUCAGCAUCAAAUGAUCGACACCACAAGCACAAUUAAUCAACUGCCCCACAAUUCCAAUGGGAAUAAUACAUCGGGGUCCCAGCUUAUUGGGGAGCAUAACUUGGGAUUAGUUUAUCAUGAAAGGUCCGACAUUGCUGAGACAGAUAAUCUAUAUGUCGACUUGCGUGGAGCUGAUGAUGAAGAUUCCAAAUCCAAUGCGGCUGAUGAAGUAGCUUUGCCAACUAACGUAGGAAAUUUAUCUCCGAGAUUGGUCAUACCACGUGAGAAGUCGGCUGAGCCAUCAAUACACAAUCUAAACAUUGACCAAUCUGUAGGAGUUCAAAUGGAUUGCCGACAUGACCGUGUUAAGGGUGUGCGAGCUGGCUUCCCAUCCGACAGGCAGCUACGUUCAGCGACAUCAUCUCAAAAUUCUUUCCAGGUUUUUUCUCAUGAUUAGUGGUUUAUUUUGGAAUAUCAGAGGGGUUGCUAAAGCCCCUAAUUUAAGAAGAUUGAAAAAUUUAGUUCGUGCUCACCAUUUGAAGUUUGUUGUCAUUUGUGAACCAAAGUUAGACGUGUCCAAAAUUGAGUCCAUUCGUCUACGAUUAGUAUUUGAUUAUUUCUUUGUUAACUUAUCGGGUGAUAUUUGGAUAUUCUAUAGUAGCCCUUUUUGAGUGUUCCAUUAUUGGGAGUUCGGAUCAGCAUAUUUCAAUACAUGUUCAAAGUCAAUUGUUUUCUUCUCCAAUCAUCAUGUCUUUUGUCCAUGCUAAAUGUUCAUUAGAGGAGCGGUGUGGCUUAUGGUGUUCAUUAUUAAAUGACAAGCCGGUUUCACUACCUUGGUGUAUUGGGGGUGACUUUAAUGUUAUUUUAGCCCCUCACGAGAAACGAGGUGGACGUCCGUUUGCUAUAGCAGAAGGCACGGAUUUCAUGUCUUUUAUGGAAGAGGCACGGGUUUUGGAUGUGGGAUUUUCAGGAGCUAGUUUCACGUGGUCUAAUAAUCGGAGAGGUAGAGCACGGGUUUCAAAAAGAUUGGAUAGAUUUUUAAUUAAUGGGUCUUGUUUGGAUCUCUCAGACGUGAUUUCUGUACUCCAUCUGCCAAGACAUCCCUCGGAUCAUGCACCAUUGAAAAUUAUGUUUUCUGAUCGAUCAGACAAUAGUCCACGACCUUUCAGAUUUUUGAAUGUCUGGACGAGCAAAUCAGAACUAUUGGAUGUGAUUCGACAGGCUUGGAACCAAAAUGUGAGUGGAUCCCCGCUACGUGUUUUGUGCUCUAAAUUAUUGGCAACGAGGAGGGCUAUUCAUACAUGGAACAAGCAACAUUUUGGCAAUAUAUUUGAUGCUGUACGUUCUGCGGAACUGGUGGUCAAACAAGCAGAAGAAUCGAUGGAUCAAUAUGCAUCGGAGGAAUUUCAGGUUGAGCUCAGUAAGGCCCAGGCAGAGUUGCGGAAUGCACUGUCAAUAGAAGAGCAAUUUUGGAGCCAAAAAGCCAGGGCAAAAUGGCUUCAACAGGGAGAUCGCAAUUCAAAGUAUUUCCAUGCAGUUGUAAGACAGAGACGGAUUAAAGGAAUGAUACACCGAAUCAAAAAGUUAAAUGGAGUUUGGGUGGACACCAAUGCUGAUAUAGCAACUGAGGCUGUAUCAUAUUUCUCUGAUCUCUUCACUGGCUAUCUUGAGUCAUCUUCUGAUAUGCGACAUAUGAUUCCACACAUGAUAUCGGAAGAGGAAAAUAGUAAAUUGGAAGAAGUGCCUUCGAUUGAAGAGAUUCAUCGAGUCCUGAAGUCAAUGGAUGGGGAUAGUGCUGCCGGCCCCGAUGGCUUCACAGGCAAAUUUUUUACAUUUGCCUGGGAAAUUAUUGCCCAAGAUGUCUACAAGGCAAUUCUCAGCUUUUUCUGUGGGGCAGAGUUGCCUCGAUUUAUCACCUCUACCUCAAUUGUAUUAAUUCCAAAAAAGCCAAAUCCUCAGGACUUUUCUCAUUAUAGGCCAAUCAAUCUAUGUAACUUCUUCAAUAAGUUGUUAUCCAAGAUCUUAGCUGAUAGACUGGCUUCUCUAUUACCCAAAAUUAUUUCGCCCCAGCAGACAGGCUUUGUGAAGAGUCGUAAUAUAACAGACAACUUUUUGCUAGCACAGGAGAUUGUGUCGGGUAUUGGGAAAAAGACUAGAGGUGGUAAUGUGGUCAUGAAAUUGGAUAUGUCUAAGGCAUAUGACCGAGUGACAUGGGAUCAUAUCAUUGGUGUUCUCAAGAAAUUUGGCUUUGGAGAAAGAUUCAUUGAUUUGGUUUGGCGCUUGAUCUCCAAUGUCUGGUUUUCUAUCAUUAUAAAUGGGGCAUCGCAUGGUUUCUUUAAAUCUACACAAGGCCUACGUCAGGGUGAUCCAUUAUCGCCUGCUUUAUUCAUUAUAGGAGCUGAGGUGUUAUCUAGAGGAUUAAAUAAUCUUGCUAUGCAAUCGGGGUUUGUGGGUUUCAAAGUCCCCUUUGCAUGUCCUACUAUAACUCAUUUGGCUUUUGCGGAUGAUAUUCUAAUUUUUACAAAUGGAUCUUCUUAUUCUCUAAAGCUUAUCAUGCAGGUGCUAGAUGCGUAUCAAAGGUGUUCUGGACAAUUGAUAAAUGUGCUAAAAAGUUGUUACUUAGUACAUCCCUCGAUACCACCGGCAAGAAGAAGGGUGAUUGAACGUAUCACCAAAUUUAUUUAUCAACCAUUUCCGAUACGUUAUUUGGGAUUUCCCCUCUAUUUUGGCAGAUGUAAAUCAUCAUAUUUUGGGGAAGUUUGCCAAUCUAUCCUAGGGAGAAUAAGGUCAUGGAAAUCAAUGAUGCUUUCUCUUGGAGGCAAAAUAGUUCUAAUCAAACAUGUGUUGGCAACGAUGCCAGUACACCUGUUGUCAGCAGCGGUUAUCCCGGGUAAGGUUUUUAGAACUAUAGAAAAAGCCUUCUCGACCUUCCUAUGGGGGUCAUCCUCCGAGGAGUCAAAAUUUCACUGGAUACGGUGGUCUCAGACGUGCUAUCCGGUAGAUGAGGGAGGAGUUGGUUUCCGGAGGUUACAGGACAUCUACACAGCAUUCUCAUUCAAGCUUUGGUGGAACUUCAGAAAGGGAUGCUCGUUGUGGGCUUCAUUCAUGAAAGCUAAGUACUGUAGAAUACUACAUCCUUGUCAGGUUGAAAUCAGGUCAUUGGACUCCGCAAUCUGGAGAAGGAUGGUCAAUGUAAGUCGACAAGUGGAGCUAUCUAUGCUAUGGGAUAUCAAGAAUGGAGCUUGUCAUUUUUGGUACGACAAUUGGUUGGGAGGGGGUGCCUUGUUUCUCCGUACGACAGUUGUCUCUAAUUUGUCGUUUGGUGAUUUUAUCAUCAAUGGACACUGGGAUGUGAGUAGAUUAUAUCAGACAUUGCCGACGGAUCUGGUUCCCUCCAUUUUAGAGCAUCCAGUCCCGGAAGACUGGGGUGAAGCUGAAGUCUUUUGGAUGUCCACAACAUCUGGAAUCUUCUCUCUAGCUUCGGCAUUUCGGGAUAUUAGGCAAGCACGAAACAAGUCUAUGGUUUUUGAUAGCAUUUGGCAUCCUCAGAUUCCACUCAAAAUUUCAUUCUUCAUGUUAAGAUUGUUGCUGCAGAGGCUGCCUUUACCGGAUAGGUUACGUAAACUUGGUUUACAUUUACCAUCAAAGUGUUUCUGCUGCGAUUCCGCAUCUGAGGAGUCAAUUGAACAUUUAUUUUCCAAAGGCCAUAUAGCUUCAACAGUUUGGAAUUAUUUUGGAGCUUCAUGUGGAUUGACUUUUCCAGGCUCUUCUUUACGCUCCUGUAUAGUGGGUUGGUGGUUGCACUCAUAUGAUUCAGAGAUACAGCGACUCAUUGGACGCAUUCUUCCCACUAUAGUAUGUUGGCAAAUUUGGAAAGCAAGAAAUAAAGCAUUAUUUGAGGAUGUCCAUAUGAGAUCUCCCGCCAUUUGUCUUGCCAUUUCCUUGGAAAUCCAGACCAUUGUGGAAAUUCAUUUCAAACAAGUUUUCAAGGCUCAUUCAUUCUACCAUUUGUAUGAUUGGCCGUAUUCAUCUCACACUUAUGUCACGUACAAACUUGUUCGUUGGGAACCAAAGGAAACUGGUCGGUUUACUCUAAAUACCGAUGGCUGUUCUAAGGGUAAUCCAGGACUGGGUGGAGGAGGUGGGGUUCUUCGGGAUUCACAUGGUAUUCCUUUGAUUGAUUUUUCGGCAUAUCUUGGAGAAACUACAUGUCUAAGUGCAGAGGCCCGGGCUCUUCUUAUUGGCAUUCAAACAUGCAUACAUAGGGGUUUUGAGAAUCUCUAUAUUCAAUCGGAUUCUUUGAUAUUAAUUGGAAUUCUUCAGAAACGUAUUCACUGCCCUUGGAAGAUUCGACGAGAGAUUAGGCAGAUUUGGCAAUUCGUGGAAGAUCCUGAUCGUUUUGCACAUUGUUAUAGAGAAGCUAACACAGUCGCUGAUGCAUUGUCCAAUGUGGGCGUCUCUCAUCCAGAGCAUCAACUCAAGUUAUACGACUCCUUCCACUUGUUUCCAACUAUGGCCCGUGGAGCAAUUCGCCUUGACAGAUUAGGGAUGCCUUCAAUUCGGAAAAUUAAGCGUAUGAAGGGCUGAGGAUAAAGGAGAAUUUGAGAUAUUUUGCCUUUCAACUAAGCACCAAACAUUUCUGGUUCAUUUGUUGUCUUUAUAGUCCAAUCCUGUACUUCAAAAUGAUGUUUCUUUGAGUGUAACUUUUAUUCUCAUCAAUAAAAGACUACAAAUUUGAAAAAAAAAAAAAAAAUACUCAAUGCAUACAUAGAAGCUAAACUAUAAAACUUAUCAAAUUUGAAAGAAAGUAGGCGAAUUCCAAAUAUCGAAUAAAUAGCAAUGGUACUUCAAAAUAUCAGAAAACAUUGAAUUUUUAGGUUAGCUUGUAAGUUUAUAUAUGAAGUAGGGAAUAUUGUUUAAACCAUCCUUCACAUUUCAUCAAAUAAACUUUUUACUCCUUCACUUUUAAAAUAGUAACAUUACGUCUCAUGCAAAAUCAUGUCGAUAAAAUUUGGUUCUAAUCUAGGUUUCUAACCAUGUUUUAUCUUGAAUCCAUUACGUAACCCACACAUGAUCAUUUUUUUAGAGGGCAAAAAGAUUUCAGCCUAUUUGUAGUUAAACAAUGACCCAAUUUAGAUUUCUUUUUGUCUCUAAAAAUAUAGGAUCUAACAUGAAUCAUAUUCAUUUUUUCCCUAAAAAUAUAAAAUCGAACUCAAUCCAUUUCAUUUUUUGCCACUAAAAAAGUGGUAUCUGACCUUUUCGUACAUAAUAAAUGAAUGCAUAUAUGUUACAUGGUGAUUUUGAGUUAAAAAGUGAUCGAAAAUUUAAGUUGAGGCCAAAUUUUAUUAACUUGAAUUUACAAGGGAUAUGAAGUUAACAUUUUAAAAGCGAAAGAUGAAAAAAUUCAUUUAAUAAAAUGUGAACAACGUUUUAAAUGAUUUUUCCUGUGAAGUAUUUCAAACAACAAAUACAUAAAUAGAAAAUAUUGAUAGAAUUUUCUAAUUAUAGUUCUAAUUCUCAGAAACUCAUUUCUUCUUGUGUGAAACUAUGCACAAGUUUUUCCAUUAAACUAUUCACGAACAAGAAAACAAAAAACUAGUUGUCUUAGUAAAUUUCAGAAUAGUUCCAUUUUUUCUUUUCUCUACUAAUGUAACAUUUAACUCACAAUUAUAAUAUGCAUGCUACUAUCUCAUAAACAUUUAGAAUUCAUGUACAUUUUUAUUCCUUACAAAUGUCCUCCUCCCCUAGUUGCUUCUCUUCUCUCCAUUCUCGUUGGUUCUAUCCAAAUACACAUGCAUGAUAGUUCGGUGAAAUUUACCUAUCUUUAUAUACUCCUAAUGCACCACAUUUUAGAUUCUUGUACUGCAUUAAAAAAAUAGGAUAUUUGCUCCGCAAAUCUUGACUCUUCCCCCCUCCCCUCCCCUUUAUAUCUAAUGUUGUAAAUUUUUCUUACAUUUUUUCUCUCUCUUACAUUGUUUUUGUUUCAACCAAUUAGAACCACAUUUUUUACACUUGUCCCUACAUUUUUUACUAUCAUUUGCAAUAGAAAUGUAUCAAAUUAACUAUUGAAAAUGUCAUACUUUCUAUUUUGGAAUGUCUCAAAAUAUUUAUCAUGUUACAAAAGAAAAAGCUAUCUUUGACCUCUAUCUCCAAUGUUGUCUCUAACUUUAUUCAUAUGUAUGUUCGAUGCAAAUUCAAAAUUUGAAAUUUUAGGCAUAAAAUUAAAAGAGAAGCAAAGACAUCACAAUUAAAAUGCUAGCUCAAAAAAUGGGAUUAAGUAACAAAAAAAAUAUGGAAUGAAGGGAGUGUAAUACUCAAUUAGAAUCAACCUUUAUUCUAAAACACCAUUUUUGCCUUUAUUUUUUCUCCAGUGAGAGUUUUCACUUAACUAUGCCGCAAUAGAAACCUUUGCAUAACUUUCUACCAAUUUCAUAUGCAUUGUUGAUCUUCAAGUGGUUGUGCAUUUGCAUGUAUGACUUGCUUAUUUCAUGAAUGUAUGCAUAGAAUUGGAGAAAACAUGUAAGUUUGCUACCAUUCUAAUGUAAUGAAAACCAAAAUAGGGAAGAAGCGAGACUUAACAAUCUGGAGGCGGCACUUGUGGUAAUGUUCGGUGUCCCGAGGGGUUGGUUAUUUUUUUCUUGAUAAAGAUGGAAGAAGAAAGAAGAUGUUGGAGGUGGUGGGUUGGGAGAUGAGAAGAAGAGCAUAAGAGCAUGGGAGUGGAGGUACGGCGGUGAUUUGGCAAAAGAGAGGAGCAAUAAAAAAAAAGAAGAGAACAGAAAAAUGUUGAUCGGACCUCUCUCUCUUUUUACCAAUAGUGCAUUUAAAAAAAUACAAAACCCAUUUUUUUAAAAAUCUUUUACACGAUCUCAAACUUUUUUUUAAAGUAUAAAUGGGCAAAUUUGAACUCGAGACCUCUUAUUUACACUCCUCUUUCUUCUGUACCACACAAUCCAUUCAUUCCUCAGUGUCAAUCUUAUAGACUGUGAAUGAAACAUCGUAGCAAUCUAUGUUCUUUAAUUAAAUAAUAUACUAGAAUUUUGCCUAUACCUUAGCACGGUUUUUUUCAUUUAUUAUGAAUUUAUAUAAAUAUGAAUAAUUUAAAUACAAAAAUUAACAACCAUCCUACGUGUUUAUUUAUAUUAACUUUAGAAAAUUAAUAUAGUCUAAAUGUUCAAUUAUUUACUAAUUUUUAAAAAUUUGUUUACAUACUUUGACUACAAUAUAAUAGUAUACAUUAAUCAAACAAUGUACCCCAUAUAAAAAAGCUUGGUAGAUAUUCUUUUAGAUAAUUAAAAUUUAUAUAAUGCUAUAAACGUAGAACUAUAUAUUCAAAUUUAAUUAAGUAGAAAAAGUCUAGCAAUCCAUUUUUCUUUGUCAACAAAUAUUCAUUUUCCAACAAUAUUAGUAAAUCUAUUGGUGUAACAGAUAAUUUUCUUUUUUACACUAAGUUAAUUUAUAUGGAUAAAAAUGAUAUUGUUAGAAAAGAGAGGAUGCAUAAGAACAAGCAAUAUUGUUCUUAUGAUCCUAAAAUCGCUAAAUUAAGGCCUCAAUGAUAUUUGAUGAAAUCCUUCCUAAAUUGAUGUUUACUUGAAGAUUUGGCAGAUGGCCUGUCGUUAAGUAUAUUUAAUGGGAAUAAUGAGAAAUUUUGCCCUUAUUUGGCAAGUGAGUUUUUUGGAUAUUUGUCUAAAAAUUAACUAUACUUACUAUAGAAGUUGUAGAAAAAAUUUUUAAAGUGUGUAAAUUUUUGGAUAUUUUGAAGUGUAUAGUUUAAAAACUUUAAGAAAUUUUUUGAGUUACUGUAGCUAAAACUGUUAAAAAACUUGUAGUAGACAAACUUGGCCAAAAAUUUGCUUGCCAAACAAGGCAUUUAGUUGAUAGAUAUGAAAUUUUAAAUUAUGUGUUUUAUGAGACAACAAUGAUAAGGAAAGAGAUUAUGAAGAAUUUGAAACAUUAAUCAACAAGAUAAUUGUGAAUGGAAGUAAUUUAUAAGAUAUGUAAAAUUUUAAUAAUAUGGUGGUGAAAUGAAAUAAUUAGAUUUCAAUAAUUGUGAUUUGAAAAAAGUUUUACCAUAGUUCUAUGUAAUAAUGUGAUAGAAAACAAAUAUCAUUAAGAUAAGAUUAGUUAUUUUCGAAAGAUAAUAUAAUCCAAGUAGAAUUCAAUAUGGGUAACUUGACUCAUAACUCGUUAAUCCUUUCCAAUUAGCAAUGCUAAGUAGGAAAUAGAAUAUAUUUGAUUGAAAUAUAGAUGUCAAAGAAACCUAUUUAACUAAAUUUACUUAUAUCCGCCUAUUAAUAACUGGAUAUGGAUAUAUUAAGUUUUAACAUAUAUAUAUAUAUAUAUAUAUAUAUAUAUAUAUAUAAAUGGAUUACCCAAUUAUUAAAUGGGUAUGAUUGGGUAACCCAUAAAAUUCAAUUAAUUCAUUUAACUUAGAUUCCUAACUUAUCCACCAUCAAUCGUUGUUGCCUCCCCCUGUUCUUGAGGUGUAUCCUGUUUAGGUGUUGUUUGUGAAAAUUCUUGUCAAAAAGACAAAAAAGACCUGUGGAGAGGUAAAAAAAAUCGGUAUGAGUGAGUGCUAGUUAGUGCUUAGUAGAGGCUUCCCCUGUUCCUAUCCCUGUGUCCCACAUCGUUUGUUAAGAGUGUGCGUGAGUGGUACUUAAGUUCCAUGGGUGCACUCAAAAGUCAGCUAGCCUUUUGAGGUGUAUCUUGUGGGGUUAACUUAGGUGUUGUUUGUGAAAAUUCUUGUCAAAAAGAAAAAAAAAAAAAAGACCUGUGGAGCCGCUGUGAGUGAGUGCUAGUUAGUGCUUAGUAGAGGCUCCCUCUGUGUCCCACAUCGUUUGUUAAGAGUGUGCGUGAGUGGUACCUAAGUUCCAUGGGUGCACUCAAAAGUCAGCUAGCCUUUGAGGUGUAUCUUGUGGGGUUAACUUAGGUGUUGUUUGUGAAAAUUCUUGUCAAAAAAAAAAAAAAUCGUUGUUGCCUCCACCGCCGCCUUCCUGCUCCUCCUCCUCUCUUCCUCCACUGAUUGUUUCUCCUUCCCCUUCUCCCCGUCUUUCCUUAAGAGAAGGUCUUUGCCCUUUCCUUGCCUAUUUCAAUGAAACCAAAUCCACCUUGAAAGUGCAAAUUCCUGAGCUGAUUUAUGAAGAAACUGUGGUGUCCUAAAGAUUUUCCCGAAGAAUGUCAUCCGGGCUAAUAUAAUUAUGAAGAAACUGUGUUGUCCAGGCUAAUAUAAUUAUGAAGUUCCUUUCGUAUUAUACUUGUG
rnacentral:lncRNA from 1 species